rnacentral:lncRNA from 1 species
AGAACGAUUCAGUCUUGCAAGUGAAGGAAAAAGAUUACGAGAAAUGUGACAGAUCAGAGCCAAUGAGAGGAUACAAAGAUGGUCACACCAAGAUAGAGCUGAAGAGGUCAGGUCCUUUUUACUUCAUAAGUGGGGAAGAAGGACAUUGUCAGAGAGGAGAGAAGCUUCGUGUCGUCGUCUUGUCUCCGAACCACAACCGAAGCGUUGCUGAUGCUCCUGCUCCUGUAAACGUCGUCUUGUCUCCAAAUCACGAUGCGGCUGCUCCUUUAAACGCUCAUAUCACAAACAAGGGAAGCCUGAACAGAGCAUGGAGUUUGAUACUUCUUCUCCUGCCAUUAGGCCUUUUGGUCUAAGUCUUGUUACCUCUUUACCCAAUUUGGUUUUUUUUUUUUCUGGUACCCUGAGACCUGAGUCAUGUUUUUAUACAAUGUUUGUUUUUUUUUUUUUGGUUUGGAUCAGAAAGAAUUGUAUCCUAAAUUGGAAAGAAAAAUUAGAAAAGGUUUAAUGGUUUUAUCCUUGAACCCGGUUCUAUUACACAACUGUAAUUGGGAAACAAAUGUUAAUCUAUGUGGGCUGAAUAAGAAUUUCAGUCCAUUAAAGGCCCAUUCUAUUUAAAGGUUAAACAGUUAAGCCUGUCCACAAUUUACACAUUUAGCUAUCAUCUUCGUCUCCGAGACUGAGAGACCGUUCUCUUCCUUAUCUUCCAACCUUCUAAUGGUUUAAUCCAGCAGUUGUCGACGAUGUCGAUAACGUACUCGGCUAUUUCCUGUAAGUUUCUUCUUCAUUGUCUUUCGAACCGAACCUUAAUGCUUAAAUUUCAAUCCUUUAUGGUCAGAUUGUGAUUGCUUUUGGUUCCCGUUGUUUUCUCCCAGCCGGUACAGUUUCUGGGUUUUCACCUAAAAAUGCACCUUUUGCUGCUAUUCAGAGCGUGCCCAGGAGACAAUUUCUCAAUCCUAACCCUUUUUCUGGACUUGGGUUCUCUCCUUCUCUUCAGGUCAGAUUCCUUUACGAGUCAAUAUUAUCCAAUUAUAAUAAGACCACACCUUGUUGCAUCAUAUACGAUUACGUUUCUAUUUUCAGCUGUUGAUGAAAUUAUUGUAGCUUCACGAAUCUAAAUUUAGUGUGUAAACUUCAUUCUCUAGUAGAGUGUCAAGCACUUACUGUUCUGUACGAAUAUGUUGUGCAGGGAAGUAUCAUUGAUUUCAGACUUAAUUUAACUUCCAGAGUUGUGCUUAGUGAAAAGCGUCGAUCUAUUCCAUUGGUUGUCAGAAGUGAUCGUGCUCAGAAUGAAGACUUACCUAAGCAGUACGCAAGGAGAGAGAAGAAACCCUUUCCAGUGCCAAUUGUGGACCUGAGACGAGCCGCCAGGGAGAGAGUCAAGAAUAACAAAGACAAACCUAAGAGACCUCUACCUCCUCCUAAAAAUGGUAUGGUUGUGAAGAGCCUUGUGCCUCUUGCUUAUAAAGUAUACAAUGCAAGAAUCAGAUUGAUCAACAAUCUCCACCGGCUUAUGAAAGUUGUUCGUGUCAAUGCUUGUGGGUAAAUUUUCUUAUUCUUCUUGUUUCAUUAGCGGUCAGAUUGAGUGUGGUCUUUUUUGAUGUUGUUUGAUUUGUCUUUUAGGUGGUGCAAUGAGAUCCAUGUUGGACCUUACGGGCAUCCAUUUAAGUCGUGUAAAGGUCCCAAUGCUUCGCAAAGGAAAGGUCUUCAUGAGUGGACUAACUCGGUCAUUGAGGACGUUAUUGUUCCUCUUGAAGCCUAUCACCUCUAUGACCGCCUUGGCAAGCGCAUCCGUCAUGAUGAGAGAUUCUCGAUUCCCCGAAUUCCUGCUGUAGUUGAGCUCUGCAUUCAGGGCGGCGUUGAAAUCCCCGAAUUCCCAACAAAAAGGAGAAGAAAACCAAUUAUCCGCAUUGGCAAAAGCGAGUUUGUUGAUGCAGAUGAAACUGAAUUGCCUGACCCAGAGCCUCAGCCUCCUCCAGUGCCAUUGUUAACUGAGUUACCUGUCUCAGAGAGCACUCCACCUUCUAGUGAAGAAGAAAUGGUCUCCCUAGCUGAAGAAACGUUACAGGCCUGGGAAGAAAUGAGAGCAGGAGCCAAAAAGCUUAUGAGAAUGUAUAGGGUUAGGGUCUGCGGGUACUGUCCCGAGGUUCACGUAGGUCCAACAGGACACAAGGCUCAGAACUGUGGUGCAUUCAAGCACCAACAGAGGAAUGGCCAGCAUGGUUGGCAGUCUGCAGUGCUGGACGACUUGAUACCACCAAGAUAUGUUUGGCAUGUUCCUGAUGUGAAUGGGCCGCCAAUGCAGAGGGAGCUACGAAGCUUCUACGGGCAAGCACCUGCUGUUGUGGAGAUAUGUGCUCAGGCUGGUGCCGUAGUACCUGAGCAAUAUAGAGCUACAAUGAGACUAGAGGUUGGAAUUCCUUCAAGUGUAAAAGAAGCCGAGAUGGUCGUUUAAUAUAGAAGAGCUUGUAUAAUACAAUUCUUCUUGUACAAAAUCCUCCAUGCAGCCUUAUUUAUAUUUACUACAUGGUUUUAUUUUUGUAUGAUGUUUUCCACAUUUGUAACAUAAAAAUUCUAAUGAUUUGUAGCUUUACUUAAGAAUUAGAGCCUGUUAAAGCUGUGUUCUUUCUUCAUCGAUUUGAGCAAUUAAGUAUGAUCGUGGGCUUAUUCUCUGAAGAAUCUUGUAACAAAAAUUAAUAUGGUUCAAGUCAAAAAGUCACAAGUUCGAAUUAAAUUUGAUGUAAGUUAGAAAUUAGAGAAUAUUAUUACAAAUUUUAAAGUUAAAAGCUUUGUAAAACAUCAAAUUAUCAAGGUAAAUAUGUCAUUUGACUCGUUUUCUUCUUCGUUGCCUUUGGCUUGUGUGUGUGUGUGUGGGGUUCUUUUUCGGUAAAGUGGAUACCACUUGUCUGCUCUGGUCGCUUUAUACAAUACCCACUUUCAUCUUUUGUAGUUCGUAGUUGUUCCUCUUAUUGUAAAAGGCUAUCCUCAUCAACGGGACCCUUGAAGUCGUCUACCUAGCUAUGUAAGCCUCUGUCUUUGUCUCUUUCUCUUACUUCAGCUUUCUCUUGCUUCAGCAAGUUCAUUUCGAUUCGCCUCUGUUCUGUUUCUAAUUUUGUUCUGAGAUUCAUUUCUCCUUUUAAGAUUGGUUCGAGCUCUACCUCUCUUAAUUUCUUACUAUGUGAGCAUCUUUCAUCAAUUUCUUUUUAUCCAGUUGAGGUGAUGCUACUUCGCUUCUGGUGUGGACCAUACUGUUCAGAGUAAGUCCAUCUUCAUUUAGCAUAAUUUUGAAAGCUUCAUUUAGUUACUUGGGUCUUUCAAAGGUAAAUACUUUAAGUUUUGUUUUGGGAUGAUGCAGUUCAGCGUGAUUAAUGAUUAGAGUCUGUUAAGCUGUGUUCUUUCUUCAUCGAUUUGAGAAAGUGAUCGUGGGCUUAUUCGUUGAACAAUCUUGAGGUAUCCUGGUUCCUAUUAGCAAUCAUGGCAGGCAAACGAGAAAAUUUUGUGAGGUUAGUGCAUCCUUUUUGUUUAAUACCGAGAUCUGACAUUCAAACGUUAUAUCUUUAUAACAAUAUUCAUUUGCAAUGAUGCCCUCAAGAGAUCAAUUCCUAUUAUAUUUUUUAUCCAAAACUUCAAGUUUUACAACUCCUUCCAGUUUUCUCUUUUGGCAAUGCUUGUUUUCUGAUGAAACUAGUAUGAUUUUCUUCCAAUUGAGAAGAUCUAUCGACCUGAGACGAAGAGAAAGGUCUAUCUAUUUUAUUUAGUUAUUCAGUUGAUUCGUUAUUCUUACUGAAUAGGGUGGAUGAUUUGGACUCUAGGUUACCAUCAUCAUCUGUAGCCUUCCAACAGAACUACACUUCCAAUUUCAGUGGUCAACUUCAUCCUAUUCAUGGAAGCAAUGACACAUCUAGGUCCUUCAAGAAAGGUAUCCAAAAGGGUUCCAAAGGGCUUAAGUCGAUCGGCCGCUCACUGGGUUUCGGUGUUUAUCGAGCAGUGUUCCCAGAAGACCUUAAAGUAUCUGAAAAGAAGAUAUUUGAUCCUCAGGAUAAAAUCCUUUUGUACUGCAAUAAGUUAUUUGUUGCAUCAUGUAUUCUAUCAGUGUUCGUGGACCCUUUUUUCUUCUAUCUUCCUGUGAUUAAUGGUGAGUCCAAGUGCCUUGGUAUCGACAGAAAACUGGCUAUCACAACAAGUACAUUGCGAACUUUUAUCGAUGUGUUUUAUCUCGCUCACAUGGCUCUCCAGCUCAGGACUGCUUAUAUUGCACCCUCAUCCCGGGUCUUUGGGAGAGGUGAACUUGUGAUUGAUCCUGCACAGAUAGCAAAGAGAUAUUUACAACAUUGGUUUAUUAUUGACUUUCUCUCUGUACUUCCUGCCCCUCAGGUUGGUAAAUAUAAGCUUAGGAUCCAUUCAGUAAUUUGUAUGUUGGACAACAUCCUUGCUUUAUGUUGUUGAAAGGAUGCAUUAGUUGGUCACUAAACAUCUCUGUUAAGAGCCUUUUUCUAGUUCUAGAUUUACAGUAUUCAUUUUUGUGUAUUUGCAGAUUGUAGUUUGGAGGUUCUUGCAAAGUUCAAAUGGGUCGGAUGUAUUAGCUACAAAGCAGGCCUUGCUUUUCAUUGUUUUGGUUCAGUAUAUACCGCGAUUCCUACGCAUCUUACCCUUGACCUCAGAAUUAAAAAGGACUGCAGGUGUCUUUGCGGAAACUGCUUGGGCUGGUGCCGCUUAUUAUCUGCUUUUAUAUAUGCUUGCAAGUCAUGUGAGUGUAUAGCUUUCUCUCUUUAUAAUUGACAUUCUUUUCUGUUCUAUACUUUCCCCAGUUAUGUGACAGUGGCACUAAAUGUGCAAUACCUGGAAUUAGUUUCAUUCCCAUUUCAUUGUAGUGAACUUAUGUUCAAAUAUUUAGAUUCAUAAAACAUGUAAAGGAGUUUAUUGAGCUUUCUGGUUAAGCCGUCACUGUUUACUUGUGAAUUGUGAUAUCCUAUGCAACCUUACCUUUUAUCUGAGUUGAUGUUUCAUGGGAUCUCAUAUGUCAUUUUUUUUAUGAAGAGCAACUCUGAUUGAGCCACUGAUCUUGCAGAUAGUUGGAGCAUUUUGGUACCUUUUAGCUUUAGAACGUAACGACGCCUGCUGGCAGGAGGCCUGUAAAGAUGCAGGGAAUUGCAGCACAGAAUUCUUGUACUGUGGCAAUCAAAACAUGGACGGCUAUGCUGUUUGGAACAAAACCAAGGAAUCUGUUCUUCAGUCUAGAUGCCGAGCUGACCUCGAUGAUAAUAAUCCUCCAUUUGACUUUGGGAUUUAUACACAGGCUUUAUCGUCUGAAAUUGUCUCGUCUCAAGACUUCAUCGUCAAAUAUUGUUACUGUUUGUGGUGGGGCCUUCAGAACUUGAGGUAACCAUGUUAACUCCUUUUGUUCUAUCACAACUCAGUCAAAAGUAAAGAAAUGACUAUUGCUUUGAUCUUUCCAAUUCUCACGAAACUAAAAGUAAUUCAGCUCCUAUGACCACAUGGUUUCUCAAAUUUAUGCGUCUAUGAGUUUCAGAUAUUCAUAUAGUACUUUUCAUUGUUGCACCACAGUACACUUGGACAAGGGCUUGAAACCAGUACAUACCCGAUGGAGAUUAUAUUCUCCAUAUCUCUCGCCAUUUCUGGGUUGAUCCUCUUUGCUCUUCUCAUCGGAAACAUGCAGGUGAGUAUUUAUGGUGCAACCGUAGCUACUUCCGUGAUCAAUAGAAAUUUUUUGUUAGUUCUUUCAGUGGAAGCAUCAUGCAUAAAUUUGUUUCCGCUGGAUAUAAGGACUAUCUAACGACAUUUUGCAAUCUUGGGACAGACAUAUCUCCAAUCUCUUACCAUCCGGCUCGAAGAAAUGAGAGUAAAGAGGCGUGAUUCAGAACAAUGGAUGCAUCACAGAAUGUUACCACAAGAUCUUAGGGAGCGUGUGAGGCGCUAUGACCAGUAUAAAUGGUUGGAGACACGUGGUGUAGAUGAAGAGUAUCUCGUUCAGAAUCUCCCCAAGGAUCUCCGGAGAGACAUCAAGCGGCAUCUUUGUCUGGCUUUAGUGCGCAGGGUAAGAUCUCCUCGCUGUUCCUUAUUCGACAACCUUUUGAACAUUUAAGACCCAUUGAAUAACAGUCGGGUGAUAACUAAACUAGCUCUUGAGCAUCGACAACCUAGCUUGGUUCAUGAUAGGGUUUCUUUUGGACAUGCCUAGUAAUACUGGCAUUUUACCAUAAUAUUAGGUUCCACUGUUUGAGAGCAUGGAUGACAAGCUGCUGGAUGCGAUCUGUAUGCGGUUGAAACCAUGCUUAUUUACUGAGAGUACUUAUUUAGUGCGGGAAGGAGACCCUGUAGAUGAGAUGCUAUUCAUAAUACGUGGUCGGCUCGAGAGUGUGACAACGGAUGGAGGCAGAAGCGGUUUCUUCAACCGCAGUCUCUUGAAAGAAGGAGAAUUCUGCGGUGAAGAGCUUCUGACAUGGGCAUUGGAUCCAAAAUCAGGUAUAAACCUGCCGUCUUCCACGAGAACCGUGAAAGCUCUAACAGAAGUAGAGGCGUUUGCGUUGACCUCGGAGGAGUUGAAGUUCGUAGCAAGCCAGUUCCGGCGCCUACACAGCAGGCAAGUGCAGCACACUUUCAGGUUUUACUCUCACCAAUGGAGGACUUGGGCUGCUUGCUUCAUCCAGGCUGCCUGGCGUCGAUACUGUAAGAGGAAGAAGAUGGAAGCGGCCGAGGCAGAAGCCGAGACCAUCUCCAGCUCAACCACCAGCUCUUCAUACUCCAUCGGGGCAGCAUUUCUUGUCACUAAGUUUGCGGCUAAUGCACUUCGCACCAUUCACAGGAACCGGAACACCAAGAUCAGGGAGUUGGUCAAGCUUCAGAAGCCUCCCGAGCCUGAUUUCACUGCUGAUUGAUGAAUGAGCCGCUUGUAACAUGCUUGUUUAUAACUAUAGCCUAUAGGAACCACUACGAUUGAAAUUAUAUACAAACAUUCCAUGGGUUUAGAGCUGCUUACUGUCUGUCUGUAAUAUAUGAAGUACAAAAACAAAGCCGGCAUAGCCGUUGGAUGAAAUAAAUAGACGACUAAGAUUAUACGCCAGUUAAAGAAUAGGUCUAUUGGGCUUUUCGUAGUUAAGCCCAAAAUAUAAUCACGGCGAACUGCUCCGUUCCAAGGUGAGGAGGCAAAGAAAAGCUGCGAUUUCAGUGAAAAGAUCGAUCGGACUUGGAGAAGACGCGAGAGUAGAAGAGAAGAGAAGAGAAGAUGGUUGGUACGAAUCUGAAAGCGGAGACGAUGGCUCUAAUGGACAAGAGAGCAGCCAUGGAGACGGAGAUGAACUCUAUUGUCCAACGUCUCUGCAAUCCCGGCGGUCCUGGUCUCUCCGGCAAUCUCAUCGACUCUGAGGUACUGUAUCUACGUCACACUCUUCUCUAGUGUUAACUGAGACUUCUUUUUGUUUUGCUCCUUUUGAUGCGUUUGUAUCUGACAGGGAUUCCCGCGGGAAGAUAUUGACAUUCCGAUGGUGAGAGCUGACCGGCGUCGCCUUGCUGGUGAUUUCUCUUUCUUUUUGUCUUGUGCUACUGAAUUAGUCCAUACAUAGGGAGGGAUUACUAGUCCAAGGCUGGAUUAAACUUUAAACCCCAUUAGGAAACGUAGCAAAAUCGUACUGAGCAUAUACAGUUUGGCUUUUGUCUUGGCUUGAGUUUUUUCAUAGUUGUGAACUAGAGAGGAGAUUGGAAGGACGCAAGCUUGAUUUUGUAUCAAUAGCAUUUGCCAUAGAGUGGAUGUGUAGCUUUUACAGUGAACCAAUUGUUAAGUUUUGCACUGCUCUUUCCGCUUUGAGUUGGUUUAUUUCUCUGAUAUAGUUUCUACACCCACACAGAGUUAAAGAGUGAGCACAGUGAGAUAACGGAAAAGAUAAAUGUGAACAUUCAAAUUCUUCAUUCAGUGAGGCCUACAUCUAGAGCUUCAUCUACAAAAGAUUCAGGUUUGACUUAACAGGCUCCAAACUUCAGCUUGAAAUCUUUGGUUUCCAUAAUCAUCUUCUCUGAUUUGGUUCUUUGUUUAGGGCUAUGAGUAUUAGAGGUUCAUUUAUAGUUUGAAACCAUAUGCAUACGUGGGUACAAAGCUUAUGAGUAGGAAAUGAUGUAGGUUCAGAAGAUUCAAGCUUGUCAGGUGCAGUGACUUCUUUAUCUGCCUCCAUGCAGACAUCUGGAUUCAGUGUUACUUCCCGACCCAUGGAAGUGGAUGUGCUUACUAGUAUUCCCUUUGCCAUGGUUGAUGAGAUAACCGAAUCAUCUCCAGCAGCAGAGGAUGGAUUACAGCUUGGAGAUCAGGUUGUGAAAUUUGGCAACGUGGGGGGUGGUGACAACCUGUUGCAAAGGCUUGCUGCUGAAGCUCAGUCUAACCAGGGACAAGCAGUUUCUAUUCAAGUAAUGAGGCAAGGUGCAAAAGUUGAUUUAUCUGUCACACCAAGGAUAUGGCAAGGCAGAGGUCUAUUGGGGUACAUACUGAUUCUGCUAAUACAUUACAAUAGUUGAUCUGAUCGUUAAGGAGGAAAACCAUUUCUCGUGCCAACUGAUAAAUUGUUAACAUUUUCCUAUAUGAUUUUCUUCCAUUGUAGGUGUCAUUUUCGAUUGGUAUGAGCUGCACAUGCUUCCUUGGAUUAUCAUUUGGAGAUCUGGAUUUGGUGAAAGCUUCUGUCCUGCAGAGUUGGUGGUUGAUUAAGUAGGCUUGCAAGUGUUUGCAUAGCCUGCAAAGUAGAAUGACCUGUAUUUUUCAUCUUUGUAUGGAGAACCCAACUAAAAUAGUAUUUGGUCUGUACAAUUAAGAGGCUUCCUUUCUCACCCUUUUUCCUAACAAUGGUGUAUGAUUCCACCACCCAAAUCGAGAAUAGAGUUAAAGAUACUAUUGUUAGAUUUUUAUGCGUAUUAGUAGAAACUUGAUCGUAAGUAUUUCUGUAGCAUGCACUCGUCCUAAAGUAUAACAAUCAGCCUUAGCAAAGUGUAAUUUGAUAUCUUGGUAGGAACGUUUAUUUUCCCUCCCAGCUUUGAGAAACUCUUUGAGCUGAGAUUAGAUUGUUUACUGAGCCAUUCAAAGUGUUAAUAUGUUAGCUUUUGUAUUUGUACGUAAAUCAUAUAUCGAACGAGGCGCUAGUUUUGGUUUAAGUGAAAUAUUUAUACAAAAAGGGUUAUCACUGACGCUCGCUGUACAAAAGGGUUAUCAAUGAUGAAAUAACAUUUGCAGUGCCAUUUCACGAUGUCAUGUAGGGGUUCAGGCUUAGCUUGCUUGUGUCUACUAACAGCAUUCCUUUUUAUCUACGAAUAUUCCUUACUGUCAUUCUUUUUGGUGUGUAUGUUCAUGAGGUUGUUUGAACUGUUUUUGCUUCCGGGUGCUUUGGCCAAACAUGUGGCCUAUGUUUCUGAGUAAUAAUAUAGGCCUUCAGGUUCUUGCUAUGCUUCUGGUUCACCCUUUUUGGCUUAUGGGAACAUCUCUAACCAAGUGUCUCAUAGGUUUAAGCAGCUGUGCAAAACGAAGCGGAACGUGUGCCCUGAUAAGCGUCCCAUUCUCUGUAUAUUCCUAUAUACACAACAAACACAAAACAUCAGAGUCAAAUGAGUUAUCUGGACAAAUAAAGGAAACCAAGUAAGAUGGUCGGUCAUCUACUCACAGUUUCUUUCACCAUUCCAACCUUGUGUAUGGUGCUUAGAAGGUCCCCUUUAUCAAACGGCAAAAGGGCUUCAACCCAAACCAUUGAAUCCUGUAACAGAAUUUUAAGAACUAAAUUUCUAAUGUUCCAGAAUUAUGAACAAAAAAAAAUAUCAAUACAUUUUGAUGAAAUGCCAACCUUAAGCUUCUCAUGAACAGCAUUGCAGAAGUCGUCUAGUCCUUCUCCUGUCAGAGCAGAUAUACAUAUAGUAUCCCCACUUUUCUCUGCUUCCAGCUUGACCUUUUGAGGAUCAUCCACUCUAUCAACCUAAAACAAGAAAUAAAGAGUUUUAUAACGUUGUUCCCACGUUAUGUUUCAUAUCACGAGAUUGAAUGGGAACUACAAUCAUAUCCGUCUCUUUACCUUAUUCCACACAACCAAUUUUGGGAUUGAUGAAACAUCGAGUUCAGACAUAACCUUUUCCACAGCUUCUAUUUGUUGCUGUGCCAGUGGGUGGCUAAACAUGUUUCAAGCAUAAUAUCAUCAGGAGGUGAAAAUAUGAAAUCUGAUGGAUGACCCAUCUUAACCAGGGUUUGAAGAUACCAAACCUGAUGUCAACAACAUGCACCAAAAGGCUUGAUUCUGAUAUUUCUUCGAGUGUUGCUCUGAAAGCAGCAACCUGCAAGACACUUUUCAGCUAAGUUACACACCGCGUGAACACAAGUCUUCUAGAUUUUUACUACGAGACACUCAUGGGAGUAUUGACAAGAAGAACAUGUUCGGUUAAGCUUCUAGUUGGGUUCUUAGCCAUUAGGACCUUACCAGAGUGGUUGGUAACUUUUGGAUAAAACCAACGGUAUCUGUGAGAAGAAAUUCCUUCCCGUUGUGCAUCUGACCAAAAGGGACACAGAAAAGAAAUAUCAUGUUCAAACUUGAUACCACAUUAAAUACAACUUCUAACGCUAUUGCAUGUCAAUAGCUAAUAACGACAUAUGAGAAAAGUUACAUAAUGGCAGUGCAGGAGUCAGAACCACUUUGACAGUAUAAUUACAUUAUAUACAUCACAUUGAACAUGUCAUUAUUAGGUAAUGUGACUAUCAAUGCAUAUGUAUUCAUUAUAGUAGCAUAUAAGAAAUAAUUGUCACCCAAAGAAGGAAGGAACUGUGGGUCUACUCUCCCAACAAAUUCACUCACCUGAACCCUUCUUGUAGUUGGAUCAAGAGUCGCAAACAAACGAUUUUCAGCGAGAACAUUAGCACCAGUCAAUUGGUUCAAAAGUGUACUCUUCCCGGCGUUUGUAUAACCAACCUAAAACAGAACAGGUAAAAAACAUUCUCAUGUAAAAUGAAGUGUUGUUCGAUUCUUAUGAGUUUAACAUAACGUGGUGUCCUUACCAACGAUACAACAGGCACAGGUAUAGCAACACGCCGGCUUCUAUACUGCUUUCGAUGCUUUCUAACAGAUUCCAACUCCUUUUUGAGAACUCCAAUCUGGCCAAGUUAAUAUGAAAACGUUCAGAAUAUACUUUCUACUUAAUGGACCAAUACAGAAAAAGACAGUACCUACGAAAUUACAAACCAUGCCACACACCAUUUCUUGAUAAAUGAAACGAGGAGCAGUGGCAAAAGAGGCUAAGAACUGGAGAAACAUCUAGAUGUUACUUACUUGUGUACGCAAGAUUCGCUUAUCAACUUCAAUUUGUUUUUCUCCCAUGCCCUUAACUUGACCACCAGAUUGACGCUCAAGGUGAGUCCACAUUCUAGUUAAUCGUGGCAAUUGGUAUUCCAUUUGUGCUAGAGCAACCUAGAAACAAGUAAAGAUUGAGCCAAUGUUGUACAUGGUUUCUGAAAAGAGCAUUACUAAAAAGUUUCACAACAGUCAUCUCUAUAUGUAAAGCUUCAUCUUGCCUGCAAGGCUGCUUCAUGAGUUGCGGCCCUUUGAUUAAAAAUGUCCAAGAUAAGGGCGGUGCGGUCACAAACUCGAACUUCCCCACCAAAGGCCUUUUCCAAGUUGCGCAACUGCCUACAAUUUAAAUAUAUAAAUUCAUAAGAAACUGAAUCACAUGUUAACAAACUAAUCUGGGAAUAAACAAUAGUAUGAAACUCCUACAUACUAUAACACUCAAAUGACUAGAUUUUGGUACAUAUUCUAGAGCUUGCAACCAAAAACCUGUAGAAUUGUAACUUAUAGCUAUAGGUCAGUCAAAAGGUAAACAAGAAGCGUGGUGGUCUUAAUUCAAGAGCAUAUAUUUCCACUGAAAACAAAAGAAGUUACAAAGAAACGUUACCCUGGUGAAAGCUCAUCGUCAAAUAUAACAGUCUCAACGUCCAAUGCAUUAAUUGCACUUUUGAUCUCUGCGACCUUUCCUGAUCCAAUGUACGUUCUAGGAUUUGGGGAAGCUAGCCUGAUGAAUACAAUCAAACCAUCAUUGACUUUAGCAUCCGCAACAAAACAACAUGGCAGCAGAAAAAUAAUAAGACAACUAGAUUCACAAAAAACCAGGAAUCCAAACACAUCCCUAAGUAGCAAAACACAGAUAAAUAGAACUACUAACUUUUGAUAAGUAGAACCAACGACCGCAAGGCCAGCUGUAUCGGCAAGCUGUUCUAGCUCCUCAAGAGAUUCCUCUAUAUCAAACAAACAUUCUCCAUCUCCCUUUCUUUCAACGCCCACUAAGUAUGCCUUCUCCUCAAAAACCUGAACAUUACAAAAUGAACUAUGCUUCUUCAACUAUACUGAAGCACAAAAUGAACACCCACUCCUAUAUAAGAAACAAAUGACUAAACACCAUCAACUAAAUGGUGAAGAAGAAGAGAAUAUGUUAUAUAUGAGUUAAAGCAACCUCCUUUCCAUUUCUGAGCUUGAAUCUAUCGUUUAAGCUCUCUUCAUCUUCUUUUUUCUUUCUCAACAUUCUCGAUGGAGCUGCAACUUUUUCUUCGUCGAUGCUCGGCUCCUCUGAAGAUAAUUCGAGCAAUUGAGGGGAUUCAUCUUCCUCCACAGUUUCCUCAAAAUCGAGACCAUGCUGAGCAACGUUACAGGACAAUCUCCACGAAUAGCAGUUGGCAUGAAGACGAGAGAGGGGAAGACGAACAACAGGACGAUUGGGUUUAGGUUUAGGGUUCGCGUGCCACUGAAGUUUGGAAAUUGGAGAAGAAGAAAGGUAAAACGAGCUCAUGGUGGAGAUUGAAGGAGUGUCUGAGAGAUUGAGUGUGUGGAAAUGAGUUCAAGGUGAAGAAGAAGAAGAAGUGAUUUCAACUACGUGUCGUUUAUCACGAACGUUAUAACGCACUGCUUGCCGGUUUUUGUUAUGUUAUAAUUUUUGUUUUGUUUGGUUACUUGAUUAGUUGUAUCUUGUCCCUCGAUAACAUUAUUGAUCCAUACAUCUAUGUUUAUUUAUGAUUUGCAUUUAUUUUUAAUUUUACAUUUUUUCUCUUUCCUCUCGAUAUUUCUUGGGAAGAAGAAACUCAUGGGAAUUUUCAGGAAUUUUGUCAGCCAUUUUCUCUCUUUGUAAAACCACUAAAAUUAGGUGUGCAAAAAUCCAAUUUUUUCCAUUGUAAGUCAAAGUGCUCUUUCUCUCUUGUCUAUUCACAAAUGCAGGCUUGUUUCUGUCGGUUUCUAAGAAGCUUAUAUAACAUCUGAAUCAUUGACGUUGCUUUUUAUGUUACUCAGGUCUGUUUGUUGGAACAAGAACCCUAAUUUUGUAAGGAAAAGGAAGCAUUUUUGUUGAUGUUAUGCUCUGUUUUCAAAAACUCAAGAGGAAGAGUGUUUCUGUGAUGUCCAAGAGAGUAUUGGUUCGUUGACUGAGUUGGUUUUGGUUUUGGAGAUCUAGCAAAUGGAAGCUGGUUUAAUGGACGUGGUGGCACGGUACUGUUUGUGAUUCCCUCUCGAUGGCGAUGCUGUUUGUGUGGCAAAAGAAUGGCGACUCUCAGAUGUUUCUCUGCUGAUUCAAGAGUCAGAAUCAGGUCAGUGUUUGAGUCAAGUGUUUGGUGAACUCAAUGUCUAAUGCUCCUAGAAUUCAGUCCAUGAAUGUGCCUGAAGCAGAGACCAGGCCAACUCUGAGGACUGCUGCUAACAAGUCUAGUCCUUUCAUCACACACAAAGCUGUUUCAAAGUCGCUGAGAAAGCUUGAAAGAUCCUCAUCUGAGCUCACUGGAUCAGAUGAGAAACUAUCUUAUGCUUCACCAGCCGGAACCGUGUCUUCUUCUUCUUCUCACAGGCACACUCUUAAUGUGGCUUCUAUACUACGACGGCAUGAGCAGAACCUAAAUUCUAAUUUGUCACUGAAUGCAUCUUUUUCCUCUGAUGCCUCCAUGGACUCAUUCCACAGCCGAGCAUCUACUGGUCGUUUGAUUCGGUCCUACAGUGUUGGAUGUAGAAGUAAGUCUUACCCUUCGAAGCCAAGAAGUGUUGUCUCUGAAGGUGCUUUGGAUUCACCACCAAGUGGUUCAGAGACUAAGAAGAGGUGUGCUUGGGUGACUCCAAACUCUGGUCAGUUUCUUACUCUUGUCAACAUUCAGAGUGUAGAUGAGUGUACACAAUCAUCGAUUUACUUUCAACGGUCUUUACAUUGACUGUUUUUUUUGUUUGAAAAUGCCAGAUCCUUGCUAUAUUGUUUUCCAUGAUGAAGAAUGGGGUGUGCCAGUUCACGAUGACAAGUAUAGUUCAAACUUUUCUCUCUUGUGUAUAACGUGCACCCUUUUUGAUUGAUGAAUAUUCCUUACUGUCAAUCUUUGGUGGUGUAUGUUCAGGAGGUUGUUUGAACUCCUUGUGCUUUCGGGUGCGUUGGCCGAACACACAUGGCCUACGAUACUGAGCAAGAGGCAGGACUUCAGGUUCUUGCUAUGAUUCUGGUUAACUCUUUUUUGCAUGGACGUGUCUCUCAUUUUGUUGAAUCAGUCCCUUCUGUUUUCUUAUGAUAUAUGUGGAAUGCAGGGAAGUUUUUGCUGAUUUUGACCCCAAUGCCAUAGUGAAGAUCAAUGAGAAGAAGCUGACCGGUCCAGGAACCACUGCAAGCACUUUGUUGUCUGAUCUUAAGCUAAGGGCCGUCAUCGAGAAUGCGCGUCAGAUACUUAAGGUAAACCUCUCUUCCACUCUUGGUUGGUUGCCCAAGAGACCCAAUUUUAAGCACAUUGAUUCAAAGCCUUGCAAAAAUCUGGAUAUUGAAAUAAAAGAAGGUCUAGAAGUUUUCAAAGUAUUGUUUCAGGAUUCAUUCAAAAGCUAAAAAAGGCUUGUUGCAUAUAAUGGGAAACUAAAGCUACUGUCAGUUGCAGUCAGAUUGAUGAAUGCUCUAUCUCUGUUGACAGGUGAUAGAAGAAUACGGAUCAUUUGACAAGUAUAUAUGGAGCUUUGUGAAGAAUAAGGCGAUUGUGAGUAAGUUCAGGUACCAGCGACAAGUGCCUGCAAAAACUCCAAAAGCAGAAGUGAUAAGCAAAGAUCUAGUGAGAAGAGGAUUCCGCAGCGUGGGACCAACGGUGGUUUACUCCUUCAUGCAGGCAGCAGGGAUAACAAACGAUCAUCUCACCAGUUGUUUCAGGUUCCACCAUUGUAUAUUCGAACAAGAAAGGUAUGUCUGAAAAGAGGGACUUCCUUUGACUUGUGAAGAGGUCUCUUUUAUGUUUUGUAAAGCCUCCAAUUUGAGUUUAUUAGUAUUCAAAACAAUGAAGAAGCAAAAGUGUGUAAAAUGCAAAACAAAAGAAACGAUAUGAAUCAAACAGCAUAUCGGUAGGUAUAAUAGUCCAGAGAAGUAACAUCGCUUCGUCUGAUCUUGACAAUUUGUCCUCGCUUAAGUCCAUAGUAUCUGGCUAGAGGAUCAGAGAUGAGGAUGCGAGGCAACUGUGUGUCUUGCACUGUGUAUUUUUUGAGUAGUUCCUUCUUGGCUUGAUCGUCGAGCACAUAGUACUUGUUGAUGAGUUUAUGCUCAGUGAUGUUGGUCACCAAUUCGGCCUCCUCAAAGACUUCAAUUGUUAGAAUCUUGUUGAGCUCUAAUACGGCCAUUCUGGCCGGACCAGUUAUGGGCAUUGGAACAACUAUGAUCCCUCGAGGAACUUUAUCGUCUCUCAUCUUAAGAGCCACUUCCUUUUUAAUCACUGGCACUCCCACCUUAGGACCUUCCGGGUAGAAUACGUAUAUCUACACCAUGAUCGAGACAAGAUUCAGCAUUGAGUCAAAAGCUUACAACUUUAUGACAUGUUCUUCAUAUAUGUAUGUUAGUAUGUACGUACCUUGUCGGCUGGAUUUGGCCCCUUAUUGGCUGCGACGAAAAGAGCUUCCUUAUUGACUCUGUUCAUAGAUUUACAAAACUUUUGAACAAACUCUUCUCGUUUCAAGUUCAAAUCAGAAUCUUCUAUAGUGUAACCUCGAUCCCUCAGCAUCUGAAGCACCGUGCGACGCACCUUAAAAAUCCUCGUGAUCUCAUCAUCCAAGUCAGACAUUCUCUCCAAAGUCUUGCUCUGUUUUUUUUUUCUUUUGCCGGCGAAGAAGAAUGAGGUUUUACUAGGGUUUAGGACUCAUAAAUACUGGCAUUAUAGCAUAUAAUAUACAGUAUUUAUGGAUUGACAUUUUCAGUUAUGCCUUAUAUGAUUUAUGUCUUUUCGCAAAAUUUAGUACUUUUUCAUGAGCAUAUAUAUAUAUAUAUAAACAACAGAUUGUGCCAUGUCUGAAAAUUAAGAAGGAAAGAAAAAGUAGAUAAUCUCACUCAAAAAACAGGUGAUGGGAUAUGUCUUUGUUCAUCACAAAUGGAACAAAACUGAGAGUUGAAGAGAUAACAAGCGAUGUCUAAUGCCUAUAGCCUCUCUUUUCCUCUGUUGUUAACAUUACUCAACAUGUGGAUUACAUAUAUGUAUCGAUUAUGGUCAUUCAUAUCCUGAAGGCCGUCUUUGCAGUAGUUAUGCGUUCUGUCCAUUUCUUCUUUGUCUCUCUUAAUCUCUUAGAUGCAAGCAUCUGGAACGGGUUAGGCCCUCCAUAGCUCUCUUCUUUAAUCCUUAUCUUCUUUUUCUUCCCUCUGUCAUAUUCUUCAUCCCUGCAACAAUCCCAUAUAAUUUGUGUAAGAAAACUUCCCACUUAUGCAACCAAACCCAUAGCAAAUAAACAACACUCACCACUCAUCUGCUACAUAACCGAUGCUUGUGUCUUCCCUCUUUGAUCCCAUCUUCUUUGAAACUGAAAAUUCCUCAUCCCACUUGGCAACUGCAAUAGUUAUAAAAGAUUCAAUACCAUCAAAAACAAUCACAUCAAGGCAAUAAGCCCUUGCCCUACGGAAUUGAGGUAUGACUGAUACCAGUUCCAAAACAAUUAUCACCAAAGUUGGAUAAUCAUCAUUAAUAAUUAAUAUGGCAAAUAAUUAUCAUUAAUAAUUAACAUGGCAAAGGUCUAACUGUAGUAAGUUGGGAAAAGGGAUGACUUACCCACUGUCUCUGGCACACCCCGCGUGAGAAUGCUCACAGCUUCUUUCUGUAACAAGAUUGAGGACUCUCUCUUUCUUUUGGCGUUUUGGCUUGCUUCAGACUCGUCGCCAACCAACAUAUUCCUAUUACUACUCGUGACCAUUUUACUAUGGAAACUAACACUUGAAUCCUUUCCUUCCAAGCAAGUAGAACCAGAAGCAACUUCGCUAGUUAACUGUGAAGUGGACUGCUCAUGAUCUGCUGCUUUUUUCUUGGAUUGGAGCUCUUUAGAGAUAAUCUUGACAGCUAAGGUACCACUUAACCUUCCCCUUUUCUGUUUCUUUGUUUUCCUUAAGCCCAAGGCCAAAUUAAAAAAUUUUAAUCCCACCGGCAGAGUUUUCAUGUUACGCUUGCGAGUCUUUCUGAGUGUGGUGAGCGUAUCCCUCUCAGAAGUUGACUUUAUCGACUCAAUCGAAUUGGCCAAUUUUUCCGGGAGCUGUCCCUUUGUCUGAUCAAUAAGAACAACUUUUUCAAUAGAUGAAUUACCAAAUGACACAUUUCCAACCUGGAGCAGUAAGAAGUAGCGACAUGCAAGUUAGAAACACUGAUAUUAAUAAAAAUGUGGCUAUACAAAAAGAUGCUGACUUGUUUGAAUUAGCAGUGUAUUACACACUUACCUUCAGUGUAUUAGCAGACUCGUUUGAAUUGUUAACAGAGUUCUUCUCUUCAACACUAUUUUCAGAGUUUGCUCCAGAAGAAGGCGUGUUCACAAGAAUUUGGGCAUUUGUGCUUACAUCCAGGAGGGGAGACACCUUCCCUGGUAAUACUGGACAUGGAGCCUUUGAAUCCUCCUUUACCAAAGAUCCUGCCCCAUUAGCCUGCGGAAGUGACACUUCCUUUUGGAAGGUCGCUUUGGUAUUUAAGUCUUUCUGAAUUAAAACCGUGAGAGCAGCUGGAUCACAUGUUUUUCUGGGUACUGAACCAUUUUCCAUCUUAAGGGUCUCUUUUGCCUCCACAUUACUCAUAGGAUUUUUUUGUGUCCCUUUGGCGUUUAGAUCUUUCUGAGCAAAGACAGCAGGGGCACUUAGAUCACAUGAUUUCAAAGGUACUGAACCAUUGGAAACAAGAGCGUCAAAACCACAUUCUUUGAUAACUGUUGGGCCAUCCACUUGAUCUUUUAUGUUAGAAGACACAAUCAAAGAUGCUCUGUUUGUGGCAAGGCUUUCUUUCUUAACCAAGGGGACUGCAUUCUUAGGAACAACAUUUUGUCUAUCACGAACAUAGAAUAGCAUAUAUGCCUUCUGAUCAAACACGACCUUCUCACUAACUUGGACAACCUACAACAAAAGUGUAAAGAGAAACUUACUACCAGUUAUUCGAUUCUCAUCUGCUUGCUUGCGCAUCAGUUAUCAAUUUAAAAUGUAAGGAAAUAAACUACUAACAGCAGGUUAAGUCUCAAAUUAAAAUUUGCAAGAACACUGAUACUUACCCUAUUGUCAUCAAGGGAAUACCACAUGCCACUUGAUGUGCGAACAAAGCAGGCGUAGUGACCAGAAUGGAUGCUUCGACCAUAAUGAACUAAAACACCAUACAGAGUGUACUUCAGAUUGCCUUCCUGUUCAACACAAGUAUUUGAUCUGUUAAAAAUGAAUCAUGAAGCUAGGUUUAAAAAAAUACAUAAACACGAUCAUCUAAACAAUUAACAGAACAUGUCAAAAUCCAUGGAAUAUAGAGCACAAGAAGAAGCGUACUUACAUGGGGACCACUAACAAAAGGUUUCAUAUCAAUUGCAGAGGUAAACUGGACUUUCCUAUCAAUUUUUUCGGAUCUGUGUGCUUCAAACCGCUUAAGAUGAACGGUUAAAACAUAUGGUGCUUUAGAAACAGUAAGCUGCUUUCUAGCCUUGACUUUGUGCUUGCAUCUUUCACAUUGGUAAACCUUUGCACCAUCAUCUAAUAGCUCAACAGCAGUGAAACGUAAAAGUGCUCUCUGCAACGAAUCUGCCUUGGAAAUAUCUAGACUUAAGUCAAGAAAUGGAUCAAAUUUGUUGGAGCAAUGGGAACAUUGCUCGCAUUUCACCUGAAUUGGAAAAGAAAAAAAUAGAGCAGGUUAAUCAUGUCAUAAAGAUCUUCCACGCAGAGGUAAAAUAUAUGCUCAAAAGGAUGUACAACUUCCUGAAAGCAAAGCAAAAUUUACCUGACUUCGAAGGCUACCACCAAAAAUUUUGUGUACCAAACUUCUCCUGUAAGCAUCAGAGGAUUCACUAGGUACACCAGAAGGAAGACUACAUUUGUGCAUGCAUUCUAGCAAAUUGAUCAUGUACUCAUGUGCAUCCUCCUGCCGACAAUUUCUGAAGUUUCGGGAUAUGCCUAACCAAUCAGAUGAGAAUCCUCAUUAGUCUGGUUAUUAAGCCAAAAUUGGCACACAAUAGUGUAAGCCAGAAAAGUCCGAGAAGCGUACAUCUCAAGUUUGAGACCAAGUCUUUUGGUGCUAAUAUUCUGCCAGUAGCUUGCCUGGCAGUCCUGACAUGUUUUUGGAUCGCACAUAAAGCACAAAAUCCAGCAACAUUACCUACACAAAAGAUUUGAACAUUGUAUCAGACACUGAAACAAGACUAGCACACACACGCGUUGAUCUAAAAACAGAAGACAUAAAUGCUCUGGCUGAUCGAACAAGCAACAAAAGUUAGCAUUUUGAGAAUCUAAAGCAACUUACAAUAUCUCUGAUGCGCAGCGGUUUGCAGGGUAGCAGCUAAAGGCUCAGUGUAUGUGAGACAUUGCAAUACGGAAUUGAGAAAACAUGUGUUCCCGAGAUUCUGCAAACCCGCACCCUACAAAAAAAUAUCACAAACAACAUUCACAAAACCAAUAAGAAUCUUUACGUCAAUCAGUAUAGAUAAAAAGGAAACAUAUUUACGAAUUAAGAAGGCCGCACAAAAUUGAAAGAGAUAAGAUUGGCUAAGCACUCACAAUUUUGCGGAAGGUAAUGCUAAAGGUAAGCUCAGGAUCGAACCCAUUUUCCAACAAAUCGGAAGCUUCGGGUUUCUUAGCGGAAGGUGGAGACAACAGUCGCUUGUUAGCGGAGCAUGGAUUCAAAGUCUCGAUCUUAAAAUCAGAACGCCCAUUAGAGAAACCAUUAAAGGGUUUCCUAGCGGGAUGAAACUCGAUCUUUCUGAACACGGCUGAAGCGGUAGAAGAAGCAACGGCGCAGGAUCCGUUGCUGCUCGACGGAUCACGAUCCGUUUGGAUCCCGAAAUCGGUGCUGCUCGUAGCAACCUCCAUUUACAAAACCCAGAGGAUACAACAAUCCGUGGAUGGGAAAGGACACGGCUUUGUGAUUGUCGGGAAAUCAAAAAAAUUGUGUGAAAGAAGAAGAAGAAAAAGAAGAAGUUGCGGCUGUGUGAAAAGAAAGGAGAAAAAGAGAGUGGCAGCUGCAAACGCACUAUUAAACCCUAGCAAAGACCCAGCCCCGACAUUAUUACUUGGCCACUUAAUUUUUUUAAUUUUUAAUUUUUAUUAAUUUUGUCAUUCAUACAAAACGAAAGACCGGAGUUCUUGUUUCGGUUACGGUGGUCUAAACCGCGCCUGAUUAUUACCCGCGAAACGAAACGAACAGAAAAGUACAGUAUCAUAUUUAUAGCAUAGCAUUAGCCUGACCUUAAAAUAAAUUAGGUUAGAUUUGAAAUUAAAUGAAUAUGAAAGCCUUCUUUCUAUUAUCCCCUAAACCGACUUAUGUUUACUAACAGGCCUUAAUUAAAAGGCCCAUUUAAAAACUAAAUUUGAAAACGAGAUCACAGCAAACUGAAUUGGGCUUUACUUCGAUGUGUAGAUAAAAUACAAAAAAAAAACCACAAGUUGCAAAACUGGUGCUGCUGACUGCCUACUGACCAUUAACUAAUGUAUAUUGUUUUCUUUUGUUUUCUAUAAUACUACAAAAGUUUUGAUUUAAAAUAUAAAUAUUUGAUGCUGGGAAAGUUAAUAAAGAAAUAUAUAUUUACUGCAGAAAUCUGAAAUAACAUAUAGAAUUAUAAAGUUGGAAAUGGAAAAAAGAAAAGGUGAAUGGAAAAAAGGAAAAAGAAAGAGGAAUUGCAUGGGAAAAAGAAAAAAUGGUAAAAUAAAAUACAAGUCGCAGCCCCGACAGGGAUUGUAAUUGGUAAACAUGUGUAAGGAAGAUCCCGAGUCGGUGAAGACUCCAAAGUACGUUUUGUAGUAUUUAUUUUUAAUACACACUAAUUAUGAAUGAAUCGGAGGAAUUCAAUAUGUAUCUAACUAAUCCCCAUAAGAUUAUAGAUACGCCCAUUAUUGUUGAAACCAUUCGCCCCCACCACAUUUGUUCACUACACCUUUUUCUUUCUUUCUUUUUCUUUGUGACCGUUGUUGUUAUUUAUUUAUUCAUUUUUUGUCUGUUCCCAAAAUACUAGUGAAUGAUAUAUCAAAAGAUUGAUUGUCUGUUUGGUGUUUUUAGGUAUAUGUCACUCCCAAUUAACAACUUUUUAAUCAUAGAAACAUAUCUUAUGUUCGUUCGUUCGUUGCCACGGUAGUUGGGCUAACACUUCAAAUUAUAUUAAAAAAACGUAAAUGUAGAUAGAAAGCAACCUGUAUUUUGGAGCAGUAUAGUAUACAAUAACAUAUAAAGAGAGAAAUUAACAAAGAGAGAGAGAGAGAGAGAGAGAGAGAGAGAGAGAGAGAGAGAGAGAGAGAGAGAGAGAGAGAGAGAGAGAGAGAGAGAGAGAGAGAGAGAGAAGAGAGAAGAGGUGCAUGUAAAUGCGAAGGAGAUUAUCAUAUACAAAGUAGUAGUAGUGUGGAAAAACACAAAGAAGCAGGUACAUAGGGAGAUGUGUCAUGAGUCACGUGCCCCUCCCACUCGACCACGUGCCGUCUAAGCAAUAUCAUCCCCAUUCCAACUCCUCCGAUUCAGUACGUGUAUUCUAAUUUUUUUUUAUAUUCGGCUCUAAAACUUUGAUUAAUUCACUAGUACUAGUAUGCAACACACUAAUUUAAUUAAUUAGUGUCUGCUUAUAUAUACUUAGACACACGCGCACGCACGUUGUUAUAACUUCACAUUUGUUUUUUACGGUACGGAGACCGAUAUUUGUUGCAUAGUUGUAGCUGUUAGUUUACUUAUUGGUUAUUCAGUAGAGAUUAGUUUAUCCAAACACAUGCAUUCAUUUUAACACAGUAUAAUCGUACUAUCAAUGUUCAUAAAGACGUAUUGAGAUCUAUGUAUAUGAUAUAUAGUUACCGAUUGUGUUUUUUUUAUAAAAAGGUGUCGGUGGCACUCACUAAACUCCACCAAUACAGUGGAUAUUAAUUUUGGGGUUUUCCAUUUCUUGUAAGGAAACGAUUGAAUAUAACAAAUGGUAGGUAAUACGUUAAAAUGGUUUUGCUUUUGUUCAGCCUCUCAUCUCAAAACGCUCAGCCUUUUUAUGAGAUAAACGGCUUAAAUUUGACUCUAUUCAUCUAAAUUUGGGUCUGUGGCUCUGUAUAUAUAAAUUCUAUAUUGCAUUUCACGGACGCUGACAAGAUUCAGUGCCAUAAAUAUUCUACUUGUUUAGUUGAUAGACAAAAGUCAAAACCGAACCAACCCAACCCAACAAACAUUCGUAAAAGGAUUAAGGAUCGUUACAUAUAAACCCAACAAUACGUAUAUUUUGACAUCCUUACCAUUUACAUACUUGUGAAGUUUUUUUUGUGCCAUUAACACUCUGUAUCAAUCUCAAUGUUAGCAGUAUAUUCAUGAUACACGUGAAUAUGUAUAUAACCUUUUCACUCGAAUCUCGUGAGAUAAAAGAAGAACAAACAAAUUAUAGUAAUUCAUUUGUGUUGUUUUAUACGGCACAUGUUGAUUACUAGAUAGCGUAAACUUUUACGAUACGGAAGUGAAAUAAAGUAAAAACCAAAACAAAAAGGAGCAAUUCUGUUAGUAAAAUUCUUUAGGUUUGAAAAAAGAAAAGUAAAAGUAGAGAGAUUGUGAUCAUAAACCUUAAUGAUUAUGUUUAAGCAAGCAUCUUUGCAGUGCAACCACAUGCAAAAGGCUUUUAGGGUUAACUAAAGCAGUAGCCAAUUAGCCAACUCUGGUGUGAUAUCUCUAGUCUCAUCUUCAUGAGACAAAAGAUAGGUCCCCCUCCUCUAUCUGAUCCAACAACCCAAACUCCAAACUCUUCUCUCUCUAACAUUAGUAGUGCCCAACAAACUCCAUUUACCUUCAGCUUCAAGGCUCAUCAUCAUUACAACUUUCCAGUUCAGCUAAUUUUACUAGUAGGACAGUGACAUAAAGACAGCCAGAGAAUGGACCCGAGCUUCAGCAGCAGCAGAAGAAGAAGAAUUGGAGGAACCGUUGUUGCUGCAGGCUCUGUUUGGGAAACGAGAAUGCAGAGCGACGACGAAGUUUGUAACAGUAAAGCCAUUGUCAUUCAUGCCUCUGGCGAAGACAAGUCUUGUGACAAGCAAAUGAUGAGCUUAAAGGAUGAAGCUUUAGGGGUUAAUGGAAAGAGACGGACUUGGAAGUCAAGAGCUUCGGAUGUGAAGAACCCAUCAUCGGUUGAGAUUGGUCGAGCCAAUUCUAUGAAGCUUACGAGGCCGAGAUCAAUUGGUACACCUCCGAUGACGCCGAGGAGAUCGAUUUCUAGCGACGAUAAGAGCCCCAAUGUGUCGGUGGUGAAGAAGGUGAGAUCUGAAUCUGUGGAUGGGAUUGAGAAGACUACUCCGGGUCGAGUUAAGAAGACCCGAUCGGAGCUCUGCACGGCGAUCGUCAAAGCCGGUGAAUUUGAUUCAGUUGCGUUGAGGAAAGUGAAUUCAUUGCCAUCACCAAAUUCUGAUAAGAAAACAGAGCAUGUUGUAGAUUCACCGAAAGAGGAAACCGUUAACGAGAAUUCGAAGAUCCCAGAGGAAGUUAAGGAGUUCGGUGUUUGUCAGGAGAUAAUUGUAUCUACUAAAUCUAACGUUGACGAGCAGAUCGAAAAUGGCGAUCACGAGGAAGAAGAAGAAGAAGAGCGAGAAGAGGAGGAGGAGGAGAGAGAAGUAGAGAAGAAGAGUGUUGAUGUGAAAGAGAUGAAUGUAGCGAAGGAGAACAGAGUUGGUGGUGUUGAGAUUAGCAGCAAGUUCAGUCAAUUUCAUAACAGAACAGCUCCAUCUCCGUCGUCUGUCCGUAAAAUUUCACCUCCGGUGAUCAAAAAGGCUACUCCCGUUUAUUCGGUUCCACCUCCCAGCACAGGUAUUUGAUCCGAAUCUCGAUGCUUCGUCAUUCUUUUGUGUCUUCUCAAUUUUUGACGUAACCUCUGUUUUCUUACGACUGUUUCCAGAUAGUUUUGCAGAGGAAGAAGAACACUUUACUCAGUCACAUAGCAAAUUGCAGAGUCUGGGUGAGAAUGAGAUUCUUAAUACAGUAGUACUCUGCAUAGUUCCAUCAUAUAUAAAUUUGAUUCAUUCUAUUCAGUAAAAUGCAUAAUUUUUAGUCUGAAAAGUCAGAGUUAGAUAUGUAAAUGAUGAAAUGAAAUGGACAGUGGAUCUGGUGAUGUGGAGAGAUGCAUCAAGGUCGACGUUGGUGUUUGGCUUCGGGACAUUCCUCAUAAUCUCUUCUUCCUACGCCAAUGAUCUCAAUUUCAGGUUUUUCUUAAUUGAUUGAGGAAGUUUACACACAAGUUAGUUUUAAGUAGUUGGAGCUAAAAUGUGAAUGGAUAUGUACAGCUUCAUAUCAGUCGUAGCCUACAUGGGACUCAUCUAUCUGGGAGUCAUGUUCGUAUUAAAAUCACUGAUCUACAGGUGUGAUGCAUAGACCCAUUUCUCUCUCUUUCUCUCUGUCUUUGCAUGUUUUUUUUUUUUUUUGUGACUGGCUUUAAAAGGCAUAUGAUAAUGGUGGACGCAGGGGAGUGGUGGAGGAGAGGCAAAAAAUAGUUGGAGUGAGAGAGGAAGAUGUGAAGAGGAUGCUCAGACUUAUAAUGCCUUACCUCAACGAGUCUCUCUUUCAACUCAGAGCACUUUUCUCUGGCGAUCCCUCCACUACUCUCAAGGUAAGUCUUCUUCUUCUUACUUUCUUGCUCUCUCUUGUCUCUGUAUAUCACGUUAAGAAACUAUAGACGAUGAUGAUGUUGUGCAGAUGGGAGUGGUGCUAUUCGUCUUGGCCAGGUGUGGCUCUUCCAUCACUCUUUGGAACCUAGCCAAAUUUGGUACCUUUAUGACUCUUAAGUCUUAUCAGAAUUCUUGUUUUAAGACAUGGUGUGUGUGUGUGUAGAUGUUAGAGUUCUGAGUGUUUUCCUGCGUGAGAACAGGCUUCUUGGGAGCAUUCACAGUGCCUAAAAUAUUCAUCUCCUACUCAACCCACUUCUCAGCUUACGGUAACUUAAAAACAAUUGUUUUGUACCUCUCCGGUACAUCAUUCUUUGAGACAUUGAUUCACACUCAGGUUGUGUACAUGCAGGAAACUUCUGGAUGAGGAGAUUCAGGGAUGCAUGGGAAUCAUGCAAUCACAAAAAGGCAGUGGCUUUGGCACUCUUCACCCUCGUAUGGAACCUCUCCUCCGUCACUGCUCGUGUAUGGGCAGCAUUCAUGUUAUUCGUUGCUUUAAGAUACUAUCAGCAGAAGAUGAUUUGGAAGACUGAUCAAAAUGAAGAUACUGAUGAUGAUGAAAAUAUAGAAGAAGACGAAGAAGAAGAAGAAGAAAAAGAAGUACAAGUCCCUAAAUUCAAAAGAGCUCCUCAUAUGAUGAUGCCUAAUAAACUCAAGAAAAUUUCUUAAAUUUCCUUCUUUUUGUUCCUCCCAUAUAUAAACAACAUACUGUAAUGUUAAUCUCUUUAGUUUUUAGUUAGGGCUCCUCAAUCUGUUACUUUACUUCUCUAUACACAGCUUUCUAUACAGUUAAUAAUGUGAAGCUCAUCUUCUUCUUAUAAGUUCUACUUUAACUACUCGGUGCUUCAAAUUACAAACUGUUCAGUGUUGACUAUAAAAAUUUAUGCUAAAAUAAAGUAAUCUUAAUUAGGCUUGUAAUGGGCCCUAAACGGGCCUUGCUCAUUAUUUAUAAGUUAUUACAUACAAACUAUGCAGCUUUCGUGAAACAACAAAUCGGAGAGAAGUUGAAAGCGUACGGUUGCACACCGGUCGUGGUAACUCCACUCUCUUCCUCAAAAACCCAACAAAAAUCACACGAUUUCAGCUUCUCGUUUCAGACGAACAAAAACAAGGUAUCGUUCUAUGGUUCUCUGCGAUUCCAAUUCGAAUCCCAUUCUGCUCUUUUUUUUUUUGGUUUAAUUUAGGGUUUUAGUCGAAUGGUAACUUUGAUUGGCGUUGGAAUUUCUCAGAUUUUGCAUACGUUGUGAUUGGUUUUCAGAUGAGUGUGGCAGCCGAUUCUCCAGUGCAUUCCUCAAGUAGUGAUGAUCUUGCUGCCUUCCUUGAUGCUGAACUGGACUCUGCCUCAGAUGCUUCGUCUGACUCCUUACCCAGCGAAGAAGAAGAAGUAGCCGGGAAUGACACUGAAGCUUCCAAUCAUGGGUAAAUUCAACUCUCACAAGUCAUGCCUUCUCUUUAAUCGAAUCUUCAAACUCUACUGUUGUUUACAGUGUGUUUACUAUGUUUUCUCAAUCAUCUUUUAGGUCAAAGAGACAAAAGUUUGAGCGUUUGGAGACUGUUGACGAAGAGGAGAUUGAGGGUGAAGCUUUCUUUCUUCAGCCUUAUUAUUGCUCUCUGUCAUGUGUUCUAUUAUGUUUAAUUUCGAAUCUGUUACGGUUGCAGAAGCAUCCUCAAGCAAAGGAGAAUGCGAGCACCCAGGUUCGUUUGGAAAUAUGUGCUUUGUCUGUGGACAAAAAUUGGUAGAAACCGGUGUUUCAUUUAGAUACAUACACAAGGUUAGCCAAUCUAUUCGAUUAUUAACUUACUCAUCUCAGAAUAGCUUCACUUAAAUCAAGUCUUAGUUUUUGUUGAUGAGCUUUGGGAAAUCUGUGUUCUUAGGAAAUGAGGCUCAAUCAAGAUGAAAUCUCCCGGUUGCGAGAUUCAGAUAUGACAUUAUUGCAACGCCAGCGGAAGCUGUAUUUAGUUCUCGAUCUAGACCACACCCUGCUUAAUUCAACCUUACUAAAAGACCUGAAACCAGAGGAGGAAUACUUGAAAAGCCAUACGCACUCUCUUUUAGGUGAUACAUUGAGAUACAUUGUUUUGCUUUUAUCAAAUUCCUUUCUUACUAAUAUGGUCUUUUUUUAUGGAACUUCUGUCUUGUUUCUGUCCUUUUGUGGUCCCAUCUAGAUGGUUGCAUGUGUUGUAUUUCUAAGAAUUUUCGGAUUUUUUUGUUAAUCUCAGAUGUCUCCGGAGGCAGUCUUUUCAUGCCGGAACAUAUGCACAUGAUGACCAAACUGAGGCCGUUUGUUCACUCAUUUCUAAAAGAAGCCAGUGAGAUGUUUGUGAUGUACAUAUACACAAUGGGAGAUCGGCAAUAUGCGCGGCAGAUGGCGAAGCUACUUGACCCUAAAGGAGAGUACUUUGGUGAUCGGAUAAUUUCUCGGGAUGACGGCACAGUGAGACAUCAAAAGAGUCUCGAUGUGGUGCUUGGACAAGAAAGUGCUGUUCUGAUUCUUGACGAUACAGAGAAUGUAAGUAUGUUGUGUAACUUUUCAAUGUUUCGUGUAACUCUUAAUCAUGAUAUUGAGUUGUGCUGAUACUUGGUAUGCUGCACAGGCGUGGCCAAAUCACAAAGACAAUUUGAUCGUGAUAGAGAGGUAUCACUUUUUCGCUUCGAGCUGCAGACAGUUCGAUCACAAAUACAAGUCUCUAUCGGAGUUGAAGAGCGAUGAGAGUGAACCAGAUGGGGCACUUGCAACUGUCCUGAAAGUCCUAAAACAAGUGCAUGCGCUAUUCUUUAAGGUAUACCCAUAUACAUACACACUGGAUCUAAAGAAAGCCUAUCUUUUGCCUAGUUGGGGUUUUUGCUGAUUAUGAUUCGUUUCUUUCAGGAUGUGGAUGAAGAUAUAUCUAAUAAAGAUGUUAGGUUGAUGCUUAAACAAGUGCGUAAAGAGAUACUUAAAGGAUGUAAAGUAGUGUUCAGUCGGGUGUUCCCAACCAAGGCUAAGCCGGAAGAUCACCCUCUGUGGAAAAUGGCAGAGGAACUGGGAGCCACCUGCGCAACUGAAGUGGAUGCAUCAGUGACACACGUGGUAGCUAUGGAGAUGGGAACAGAGAAGGCACGUUGGGGUUUAAGAGAGAAGAAGUUUGUGGUACAUAGAGGAUGGAUAGACGCAGCUAAUUACCUGUGGAAGAAGCAGCCAGAAGAGAACUUCAGUUUAGAGCAGCUCAAGAAGCAACAAGGAACGGAAGAAGAGUGAUUUAUGUAACACGAUGAGAAAGAAGUAUAGACUUUGUUUUAUGAAUCAGAGUAAAGUUUUAAAUGUACAUUGUAUCUGAUAUUUCUGGGAUAUUUCAACUAAGAUACUAACUUUUGAUACGAAAUCUCUUCUCUUGUUCAUUGCUCCGUAAAUGCUUGUUUGACAAGGUGUGUUUUCUACCGACUACUUAGUUGGGCCGGGCGUAACUGGGCCUUAUAUUUAUGUUCCCCGUCUGGUUUCGUUUGUUUGUUUGGUUGGUGUUUAGUUGUGGUUCUGUUUCUGAUUUCGUCUUCUUCGCUGCUUAGAUAUGUCUGUCGAUACAUAUGCGUCGUCGAACCCUAAUGAGGUUCAUGAGAAUGUUCUUCUGAAAGCUAGAGAUGCUUGCUACAAGGUCCGUCUUCCUAUUUUCUCUCUGCUCUAUUUCGUUGUGAUUCUGAUUAAAUGAUUAUCAGGUUAGACAGUAAAUGGUUGGAGUGAUCAUUUAAUUUGUGCAGGCCAGAGAUGCUUUUUACGCUUGUCUUGAAAAGGAAUCUGGUAAAAAACCAACUGAAAUCGCGACCGUUGGUCUUCUCUAUCCUAAAGAGUGUAGCAAUUCUAGAACCCAAUUCGUCAACAACUGUCGAUCCUCUUGGGUACUCUCCUCUUUCAAUUAGUUUGCAAAACUACAAUUUGGACUUUUGAUUUGAAUGGAAGGGAUGGAAAUUUGCAGGUGAAGCAUUUCGAUAGGGAGUACUGUAGGAACAAGAGAGUUCAAAGGCUGUUGGAUGAUGGAGAUGAGAGGAAAGGUCCAAUGUCACUUCCUCAGCCUUACACUUUCAAGCCUUCUCCUUCCUCUUAGUUUCCUUCCUUUCCUGGUACUUUAUUGCUCAACCUGUCCUUAUUUGACUUCAAACUCAGAUUCUUCUAUUUGUCUUCUCUUUGCAUACUUCUUUUAGUGUUUCUGUAGAUAUAUUCUCACCCUCUAUGUUAUGAUUAAGCUUUUUUUUUUUUAUCUUGUCUUUGACUCUUUUGAGUAUAUCACAUCACAUCAAGUUUUAUUUGUUUGUCUUUGUCAGGUGUUAAAGGUCUCUUUGCUGAGGAAGAUUUACAAUGGACAGAUACUGUUCCUGAAUCAUGAGAGUUGAUUUUCUUUGCUUAUAGUCUUAGAUCGUAUUUGAGUUGUAAUCCUUUAACAUGGGAAUAAAGUGGUACAUUUCAACUCAAGGACCUACCUGAUUGUUUGCCUUCUGUGUCUAUUGCCCAAAACGUUUGUUGAUCUAUCUGCAAGCAUCUAGUAUACAUACACUAUGCUGAGAUACAUAUAUGUACGUGUAUAUAGAACCUGAUCGUUUUGGUUACUGAGCUACUGAAGAUGUGGUUUGUUCAUCAGUGCUCCUGAAACUUUGUGAAAUGUAGGAGUGUAUGUGUGUUUUCCUCAUCCUCUAAUGGACAGGGGUCUUAUUCACAGUUUUGGUAUCUGAUAACCGAAAAAAGCCGGGUGGUUCAAGAAUUUAGGCAUAUCAAUAGUAGUAGUUUAUAAGAGAGUGGAAAGCUUCAACUUGAAUAUUAUAAGACUAUAUAAGUUCCACGAUUGAGCAAACAAUGUUUAAGACAUUAUAGUUACAGAACACGUUGACAAAGAAUGAUUUGGGAAGGUAGUGGGACGCAUGUCUCUUACCUUACGGUCCCACCAGCAACACACGUAUAGGCGUAUACGAGUGUUCUUGUCUUGUCGGUUAUGUUCUUUGUGUAACUGUUUUAUAUUAUUCAUGCUUAACAGUGAAAAAAGUAAAAUGAUAUGGAUAUGAAUGUUUGACUUAAACUGAGAAGAUGAGGCACAUGAGAGUAUCCCUAUGGUUCAGGCCUUGGAGGCAGCAGGUACGUCAUCCAUAGUCGAGGAGGCUUCAGGUGCAGCAAUUGCUGCUGUUGCUACAUUUGCAUCCUCUGCUGCUACGGGAUUGGAGAUGGGGUUGAAGAGAGAUCCACGAGAGUGAGUGGUUGAGGAUGAUAUCGCAGUUGCUAGAGAGAUGGGCAUUAAGCAAAGCCCCUUCCCUUGAAGAUACUGCAUUGCUGAUCCCAUGUCUUCUUCCAUCAGUUUUGCUACCCUCUGUUCUGUUGACCUUAGGCUCUCGUUUGAUGAUCCAGUAGCGUUUCCGCUCCCGUUUACAACAUUGCACGGUGAAGUGAGAGCAUUGAGCCUUCCUCCUGUCUACAGUACCAAAAACCAUGACGAUGAUGAUUAUGAAUGAUGAUUGGUAAUUCCACUAUAGAGAUGUGGAAAGCCAUAAAAGACUAAGAAACUGACCUCGGCGGAGAGACCAUUGAGGCGUGGACCAGCUGCACCUGCACCUCCCAAUCUACUCAUGCUUAGUACUUUGACUUGAAGCUGAAGGAACCUAACAUACUCGAUGAUCUCGUCAAGCAUCGAUGCCUUAUCAGUCUGCAUCUCAUCAUCAACCAAUUCGGUUAUCAUGCUAGAUCCAGGACAAGAGUCACAAAUCAGUAAAACAAUAUGAGUACCUUGUUGGUGUUAGGAACCAGUUCUUGGAGAGACUUCAUACGCUCUGCGAUGCGUUCUCUCCUUAGCUGUUCAAAAACAGACAAUUAAAAACACAAGAUAAGAGAAGAAAAAGAGAUGGAGGAAGUAAAUAAUGAGAUACCCUUUCAGCAAUGCUGUGAGGAUCAGUAGCUUGGCCUCUCCUGGCUCGCACCCUUGGCUUUUGUCGAACAACAGGUGCGCUCGUGGUCGAGACAGUCCCUUGUGCCUGCAGCCCUUCUUGGCUCCCCAUUGUUGGACCACCUGACUCCUGCAUUGACAAAAAACAACACAAAAGAAUCAGAAACAUUUUUAGAUUUUGGAGUAGUGAUAAUAAAUGGAAUGUGAACGUUUUUGGUACCUGAGGGUGAUGGAACUGGUCAGGGAAAGGGGUGUCGACGGAGAGAGCAUGGAAGAGAGAGUUUGGUGGCGGAGGAGGAGGAGGAAGAGAUGGAUCCCAGCAAGGAGGGAGAGAAGAGAGCAUUGACAUGGAAUCAAGGAAGAAGUCAUUGUUUUGGUUUAUGAACUCUCCCUUACCUUCUCCAUUCCCAUUCUCCAUCUCUUCUUCUUCUUCUUCUUCUUCUGUCUUCUUCCUCUGUUCCCUCCCCAUUUUUAUUCUUUUCAAAAUUUUUGAUUUCUUAUUUUUUUAAUUUACUGGCCGUUUCAUUUUCAUCUUUUAAUAUUUUCAUAUAUAAAAAUUAUGUAUAUAUCGAAUCUCUUAAAUAAUUAUCUCAAAAAAGUCGUACCUCGCCGGCCUCUAUAUUUGUUUUUGCUGUUAAUUAUCCUUAAAUUAAAUUCUAUAUUAAAUUUUUUUAUGACACCAAAUUCUAUAUUAUCCUUAGAGUUCGAAUCUGUAUACAAUCUUUGUUAUAUUUUUUGUUGUUGUUUCCAUUUUAAUUCAGAAUUUCGAAAAUACUCUCACCUUUUUUUAGUUUCGAAUGAUGAAAAUGCUACUCUCAAUUUUGAAUUCAAACAUGUUUUAGAAACAAAUUUAUGCAAAUUCACAGAAAUAAAAACAGAAAUUAAAAUUCAAUGAGAGAAAACAGUAGAACUAAAUGAUAGGCCCAUUAAUAAAAAAUAAUGAUAGCCCCAAGUAGAAACUAUUUGGCCCAAAUCAUAAGAUGAAAUAGCCCUCUCCUAAGUUGUAUAUAUAUACACAAACUUUCUUGAAGUUAUCCUUUUCCUCGUUUUCUCUCUCCUCGACCCCUGAAAAUCAAAUCACCGACCAAAAUUGAUCGGAAACCUAGAGACCUUACGCCACCAUGAUGCACAGCCGGCGCCAAAUCUUCGUUAAAUCUCCUGGCUUUCAUCAAACGAUCGCUCUACAAUUGGAUCCCUCGCAGUCUGUAUUAACUCUCUCGGGUCUCACGUCCUUACUCGAAUCGUCGCAUCGUAAAUCGUUUUCGGAUUUCUGCGUUGCUCUAGAUGGGAAGCUUUUGAAUGGGUCUACACGGAUCCAAGUAUCUAAGCUCCCUUCUGUAUCCACGCUCACUCUUUUCCCUCGCUUCCGUGGAGGUGGAGGAGAUGGCGGUGCGACGGGAGCUGAGUCUCGUGAUUGUUACCUCAAUAUGUACGCCGAGAAGAAACCUGACAAGGUUGAUCCGAAUGAGCAGAGGCUCUCAAAAUGGUUAAAUUGUGCUUUGUCUAACGAGCCUUUGGCAGAGCCUUGCGUGAUUGAUCUCCUCGGGAAUUUGUUUAAUAAAGAAGCUUUGGUUCAUGCUCUGUUAUCUAAGAGGCUGCCUAAGCAAUUCUCCUACAUUAAGGGUUUGAAAGAUAUGGUGAAUAUCAAGCUUACGCCUGUCGCUGGUUCUGAUGGAUCAUCGCAAGAUACCACUAGUGCCCAGUUUCAGUGUCCAGUCUCAGGGCUUGAAUUCAAUGGAAAGUACAAGUUUUUCGCUUUGAGGGGAUGCGGGCAUGUGAUGAGUUCCAAGGCGUUGAAGGAAGUGAAGUCUUCUUCGUGUUUGGUGUGUCACGCGGAAGUCAAAGAUUCUGAUAAGAUUGUGAUCAACGGUACAGAUGAGGAAGUGGGUUUGUUGAGGGAGAGAAUGGACGAGGAGAAAGCAAAGCUUAGAGAGAAGAAAGGUGUCUCAAAGAAGAACAAGAGCGGGGCUGCCGUGGUGGCUGACGCUGGAGCAAAGGUCGUCAAGAGACAGAUGGAUGAUGGGAAUGUCAGUGGUGUUACUGUGAAGAAAUUCAAGGCGGGUGACAAAGUUCCCGUUAAUGCUACCAAGGAAGUCUACGCUUCUCUCUUUACUUCCUCCAAAAAGAAGUCUGAUUUCAGGGAGACAUACUCUUGCAGGUCACUUCCUCUCGGCAGGAACUGAUUUGUCGAAACCAUGUUGUUUACCUGCUUGCUUCAUUUGCUUUGAUCUGUUCUGAUUAUAUUGAUGUAUCAACUUGCUAUGUAAUUUCGUCACUGGAUUUUUUAAUGUUUUCCUUUAUCUUUUGCUAUUGGGAAAAACAUAACCUUACCAUAACAUCAACGGUUGUUAAAACUAGGAAACUUGUAUAAGCUGCAAUAUGUAACAAGAUGGUUAUGUAUGCUGUUUACAAAUUCACGGACAAUGGCUCUGCAGCUCUAAUUCAAAAUGUAAUUAUAAUCAUAAAAAAAAACAGACAGUAGAUUUGCACAAGCAGUUCACAUAAAGCCAAUAGUUUCCAGAUCAUAGCAACUUAGUGACAGAAAGAGCUCUCUCAUUGGCUUAGCCGUGCCUCUCUUUUAAGCACCUGCGCAGCAAGGUUGUAAAGAAGGUAAAACAAGUGGCAAGAUUAAGUUUUUCCCAAAGAAGGUAAAACGACUGUCAGGAAAAGAGAGGGAUGUAGGCAUUAACCUCAUCAGCAAACUUGAUCAAAAUGGUUGUCCGAGGACGUUGUUGUCCUUCAAUGGGUACAAAAUGAGCCGUUACCACAGCAGGAAACCCUGCGUUAUCCAGAACUCCCUGCACAGAAGAAAUCGUGGCUGGCUCAUUCUUCUCUUUCUCUACCAAAUUGAUUUUAACCCUAUUCAUGAAUAAAUGAAGGGAGCACUCACCUUGACUAUGCCGGCAACAAAAGCCCCACAGUUGAAUGUUCCCAUGUCUUUUGGAAUUGAAAUGAACCUACAUUUUUGACACUUUUUAUCAAGUCUCUUGACCUAAAGAAAUCGACUUAUCUUGAGUGUUUAUAGAUAAAGCUGGAGUAAUCUAAACCUGUUGACGAGAAGCUCCUUUUCACUGAUCAUAUAUUCAUCUUCAUGUUCUGUUCCUUUUUCAAGUGAAUCAGCAACCUAUGGCAUAUUUGUUAAGGGGGAGUCAGUAUCCAUAAACAGGCAUGUCCAUAGAAAGAGUCAACAGCUAAUUCAGUUUGAAAUAACCCCUCACCUUUCCAAACAAUACCUUCCAGACUGUACUGUGGACGAAAGAUAGAAUUCCCAGUAACCGAGUCUCUCUUCGGUUGCCCUGAAACAAUGAAAGAAAAUAUAUCCAUAAGACUUGAACUCUGCAUUGCUCUUCCAUGAAGAAAAAAUUAUAAGAAAGGAAAAAUAUUCAAGUAUCAGACAUUUUGCUAAAACACAACGUACCUUCUCCCGGUUGCAAAGAAGCUCCAGAACUCGAGAUCCAACAGCAUACCCAGCAUCCUCUAGUCUGAGAGACAACGUUAUGUUAAGAAAACACAUUGUUGGGAGAUGGAAUGUGAAUGAUUCAGACUCAGAAAUGUUAUUCUUAGUAACCAAAUCAGCUCACCUUCUUUCAAGUUCAGCUAUAUUGUCAACCUGGGUUUGAUUAUACUGAACGAGCUCAGAGAAUAAAAAAGCAAAUGCGGUCAAGCUAACCUGCAACACAAUUAAAGUUCCAAAACAAAUCAAUUCUCAGAAGAUACUCGAAAUCGAAUAACCACAGUUAAUAGAUCAAAGAAGAAGAUCAAAAGCCGAGAGAUUUGAAUCAAAUCCCCAUCACAAGUAUUGGAUCCGGAUCCGAAUCGAAACAAUGUUCUCAAUUUGAAUACUCGACUCAGUGUCAAUAUUAACAAGAUGAAAAUUUUUCUGAGCAAAGGUCCGAAAUUAAGAAGAGAAAAGUGGAUCUAAUACCUCUUGUUUGCCUUUGCUGAGAGGCUUGUCAAGUACGUUGGAGUACUGCUUCAUUUUCCCGACCCCGAUCAUCUUCUUCCCUAGUCCUCUUUAAUUUAAAGCGUAAGAACGAGCUGCCCAGAACCCUAAACACAGAACCUUUCUUAGUUUCCGGUGAAAGUUAUGCUUUUCCGGUAAAAGAAAGCGAAGACGAUGCUUUUGUUUUUUAUUUUUCAACCUGGUUUGUCUUCGGUUUGAUGAAAGUACAAAAAAAGGAGAGAGUUUUAUUUUUAAAAUAAUAAUGAUAUAUAAUCGAAUUAAUCCUAAUCUGAGUAGAAAAAAGUAAAUAGGUGUAUAAAAAAAAGGCCCUAGCGAUGAUAAAAAGGAGCCGAGACUUGAGAAGAAGCCCUUAGCUUCACCGUCUCUCUCUUUGCUCUCGUGUGCUUCAUUCGAAAUCGGCCGUUCUUCUUCUUCUUCCAAUCUACCUCACUCCAAUGGACGAAGACGACGAGUUCGGAGAUCUGUACUCCGACGUUCUCCAGCCGUUUCAAACUCCCGUUGUUCUUCCUCCUCCGCCUCCGCUUCCCCACCGUUCAAUCGACCUUAACCUCCGAUCCCAAGAUCAAGACGUGGCAGAAGCUAAUUCAGCUUCAGUCUCUAGGGUUUCGGGCAACGAUGCUUCCAAAUUAUCCAUCACUCGGCAAGCAAUUGCCGAUGGUGGCGGCGACGAGAAGGACAUGAGCUUUGAUAUCGAAGAACCCGAUGCCGAUUCUACACCCACGAUUCCUGGUCUUUUCGUUGCCGCUUCUGGAGCUGGAGCGUUACCUGGUCUGUCUACAGAUCGAGGCGUUUCGCAAGUUACGGCAAGAAUUGAGCAGGCUGGUGGUGGCGACGGAGGCUACGGAGGACAGGGAGAAGGCGAUGAUUGGGAUAGCGACAGUGAAGAUGAUUUGCAGAUAGUAUUGAAUGAUAGUAGCCGCAACGCCAUGAUCGGAGGAGCUGAUAGAAGAUCAAGGAUGGGAGACAACGAAGAUGACGAUGACGAAGAUGAUGAAGAACCACUUGUUAUAGUCGCCGACACGGACCCAAAUCAACCUAUGGAGGAGCAGCACUGGGGAGAAGAUGGUCUGCAAGGUAUCGAAGGAGAUGGCAAAGAUGGAGGAGAAGCUGGAAAAGGGAGUGGACCAGGAGGUGCUACUGGACCGCCCAAAGCUGGGUAUAGCAGUCAUGGGUAUCAUCCGUUUCAUUCUCAGUUUAAGGUCAGUGUCGAUGCAACACUGUUGUCACUGGUCAGAUUUCUUAGUAGCUGGGGUUCUUGUCGUGACCCUGUUUUAGUUUUCAUUUAUUAUGUCUGCAUAUAUCCUUUGUACUUGUACCUCAACCAUAAUGCAAUGCAGAGUGUGUUAAUCAGAUUAAUUGGAGUCUGCUUCUAGCUUUUGACACACCAUCUCUAUACUUGUUUACCAAUACCCUGGUGUUUGGUCACAAAAAUUAAGAAUGUCAAAGGGAGAUAAUAAUCUAAUCGCUUCCUCUCUUCUAUAUUGCUAUCCUACACCACCAUCAACUAUGCUGUUUCAAGUUCCUAACAGUUAGCAAUUGAAGAAGAGGACUGUAAGAAGAAUAACAUUUCUUCAGACCCUUAUGAAACCAACAUUUAGGAAUAGUCAUACCAAAGUUACGCAUAUUGACACCGAAACAAAUAGCGUGGUAUUAAUCUACUUGACAUAUACAUAUCUUUCUCUUGCAGUAUGUAAGACCAGGGGCAGCCCCUAUUCCUGGAGGUGCUGCAUCUACUGGUGGGACCUCAGGUCAAGUUCGUCCACCUGCCAACCUUGGUCCUGCUGGUCGUGGCAGAGGAGAUUGGCGUCCACUGGGAAUGAGGAAUGCUUCUGCUGCACAGAAAGGCUUCCAUCAGUCCUGGGGUAGUAAUACAGCAGGGCGGGGACUGGACUUUACUCUCCCCUCUCACAAGUAACUCUUUUAUCUGUUCAGACUAAUAUCUAUAUCUAUAUAUAUCUAUAUAUAUAUAUAUAUGUAUGUAUACAUCUUUUUUUACUUAUUUGUUCUUUGAGGUCUGAUUUUGCAAGUUCCUAGUUUUGAUUACUACAUAUCUUUGUUUCUUUUAUUUGAUGUCUACUCUUUUGUUUUUUUAGGACUAUAUUUGAGGUCGACAUAGAGAGUUUCGAGGAAAAGCCCUGGAGAUAUCCAGGAAUUGAUAUGACAGACUACUAUAACUUUGGACUAAACGAGGAGAGCUGGAAAGACUAUUGCAAACAGCUGGUAAUUAAUAACUGUGUUCAUAUCUUUAUUUCAGUAGAUGAAGAGAGAUGAAGAGCACUAAGAGGAGCUUCUUUUUAUUUCCUACAGGACCAACACCGUAUAGAGACCACAAUGCAAAGCAGAAUACGUGUUUAUGAAAGCGGUAGAACGGAUCAGGUAAAGUGGAUCUUGGCAUAUGUUCUGGCGCUUACGAGCUGAUUAUUCUUCGCAGUCGGAUGAUAUUUUGUCUACAUCAGAUACAAAAGGAUGACAAUACAUUCCUAAUCAUUCUCUUGCUCAAUGAUAGGGUUAUGAUCCAGAUCUACCCCCAGAGUUAGCUGCAGCAACAGGAGCGCAGGGUGUUCCUGUUGAUUCUUCAAAUUUAGUGAAGCCAGACUCUGUUCAAGGUGAUUCAGCUAAAGUACCAGCCAAUGUUCGGCCUUCACUGGUAUAUUUUCUCCUUUCUUUGCUCUCAUUUUAAAGUAGCCUGGUGAUUCAUUAUAUUGUACAAACUAUGGUAACAUUGUGGCUGGACAUUUUUGUUCUUAGUUUUUAAAAGCUGGAGUAUAUAUUUGAAUUUGUUUUCUCACAGCCCCCUGGAAGACCAAUACCUGUGGAGACUGGUUCUGGUGAACGUCUGCCAUCCAUUGAUACGCGUGCACCUCGAAUGCGUGAUCUAGAUGCUAUCAUUGAGGUUGUGAACAUGUUUCAAAUUAUUAUUUUGGUUUACUGGCGAGGCAUCUCUGCAUGCUGUAUUCUGACUGCUACUAACUGAUAACGAUUUUAUGCCAGAUUGUAUGUCAGGAUUCGCAUGAGGAUGAACCCUCAGGGGAAAAUGGUGCAGACCAAGCCGAUAGUAGCCUUCCUGGAGAAAAUGUCUCAGUUGAGAAUAGUUAUGUUAAGAGCAGGAGACCUGAUACGGAAUCUGCUGAACGUAGUCCUGCCCAGGAUGAGCCACAGAAAGAUCUUCUCAAAAAGCAAGACGAUGAGAUCUCUAGAAGCACGGAUGAUAGUGGCCAGAGUUUUCGCUCAUCGUCUCCUGUUGGGUCUCCUGUUGGGUCUCCUGUCGGGUCUCCUGUCGGGGACAGAGGCACAAGGUCAUCAAGUGUUGAUCGCGAAGAUGUGGGAGAUGAAGUUGGCAAAGAUGCGGAUAUGGAGGAGGAGCAUAAAGUGAGUUCUACAGUCCCUCAGUCAGCAGUUCAAGAAGAUGAUGGAGGGGAAUCAAAGACGGAGAGAAGUAGUGAAAGCAGCAAAGCAAGAUCUGGAAGUCACAGAGACUAUCCGCAACUGAAAGAUGGGGUAGAAGAAGAAGUUAUUCAAGAUAAACAUUAUGCCCGACCAGCUAGUAAUAGGAAACAGCACGAUAACAAUGCACCUUACCAGAGCAGAAAGAAUCAGGACAGAGGGAAGGAGAUGGAAAGAACACGAGCGGCGAGCAAAGGUGGUAGAGAGAAUUCUAAUCCCCACAUGGAGCUGGAUUCUAGUUAUAUCUACUCAAUUGCAAAUCGCGAAGAUUUUGAUAGAAGAAAAGAGCGAGAUGUUGAUGGCGGGGUGUGGCGCAGGACAGAGGAUGACCCAUACAGUAGAAGAGGUGGGGAUGAGGGGUCUAGAAAAAGGGAUCGUGAAGAUGAUCCGGGCUCUAGGCAGAGGGGUAAAAUGCGAGAGAAUGAAAUACGCAGCAAAGAUGAUCAUGUUCCUUCCAGAAAGCAUAUGGAUGAUGUUGGCCGAAAUAUUUAUGAAGUGGAUGAUCACAUUAACAAGAGGAGGAAGGAUGAAGAAUACUUGAGAAGAAGCCGGCCAGAAAAAAGUGAAAUCCCAUAUGGUCAAAGAGAAUCAAUCAGCCGCCUGAAACGAGAACGUGAUGAUAGGAUGGAGCAUCAAAAGAGAGAUUUCCAACAUAAAAUCAGAGAUGAUUUUGACGACCAUAGUUCUCUCAGGCAUAGAGAUGAUUUUUAUAUGCAGAGAGAUGGAAACGAGAGGUUGAGGGAGCGUGAGGAUAAACCAAUGCACGAGGAUGGUUUAUCAGCACGAGGAAGAGAGAGGCAGGUGGCUGUACGGGCCCACAGAGGUUCCGAAGACCGAUCAUCAAGGAUGAAAGAUGAAUAUAAAGCUUCUGACAAAGAGCAUCUCACCAAAGAUACAACAAGGCAUACUAAACAGACAAAGAGAAGGGACUACCCUGGUGAAGAAAGUUCUUCCCAUCAUAGAGGAUAUGAAGACUUCUCUGCACGCACAGAUGACAUUGUUAGUAAUGAGAAAAAACCAAGGCAUGAGAGGACAGGUGCUAAAAAUGACAAGGUUAUUGAUACUUUGGAUGCCCAGCGAUUGCUAGACAGAAAACAUAAAGAUUCUAGACGAAAAAUUAAAGAACAGCGAGAGGGCACAGAAUCAUUAAGGGGCAAGCAAGGGGAGCAAAAUGGCAAUUCUGUAGUGACAGUAUGCUCCACAACCUAUAGAUUUAUUUUCUAUUAUCAUCCAACUUUUGAAAAUGAACAUAGCGUGGUUAUCGUGAAUGCAAUAUACCUUGCGAUUUUUUUGUUCAGUUACCUAACUUACCUUAGAUAUCUCACGGUUUGGUAACUUUUGUUCUGUUUCAUGGUCAGUAAUGAUGUUACUUUCAUUCCUUUCAGGUCUCAAAAGGAACCAGCGAAGCAAAGAACUGCAGGAAUGAGAUCUCACAGCAACCUAAUGCCACCAAAAGACACAAGGAAAACGCAUCCUCUGGUGAUGAGAUACACGAUUCAAAGAGAGGACGUACAAAACUGGAGCGUUGGGCAAGCCACAAAGAGAGAGAUGAUGCUGUCUCUGCCAAGUCAUCAUCCAUUUCCACAAAACUUCAAGAGAACGAAAAAAAUACUAAUGGCCGGCUUAGUGAACCUGUUACUGGGUCUAUUGGUAAGAAUCGGGAUGUAAGUGAAGAGAAAAGUGGCCAUGACCUUGCAGAGACCAAAGAUGGAAGCGAGAAGGGACCAGGAGACCGGCACUUGGACACGGUUGAGAAACUCAAGAAACGCAGUGAAAGAUUCAAGCUUCCAAUGUCCACGGAGAAAGACACCACGGGAGUAAAGAAAAUGGAGUCUGAGACGCUGCCCUCUGCAAAAAUAGAAGGCCCUGUGGAUCCAGAAGUGAAAGCAGAACGGCCAGCAAGGAAAAGACGGUGGACAAGUAGCUGAAAGUCAUAAACUGGAGCUGAAAUAAAAAGCGAGGAAGUGGCUCUCUUCGGCUGGGUUGAGGGAUAGUUUGAUUCUCCAUGUAGCUUCUGAUGCUUAAACGAAUUAUGAGAUUCUCCCAUCCCGCAGAGCAGUUGUGGCGAUAAUGCGAUGGAGGAUCAAGCGCAAUAGAGAUUAAUUAGAAGACUAGGGAGAGUGUGUAUGGGAGGAGCUAAGUUGUGUAAGAAUAGAAAGAGAAUACGCAUAAGGAUGACUCGAGAGAAUACUCUUGUAGUAGUUGAUGUAACUUUUAUCAAAGAUUAUUGGUCUUUUAGUUUUGUUCUUAUACUAAGCGCCUCCGGAGAGAGCGAGAAUAUUUAUUAAAAAACGGCACUCUGUAUUAUAUAUUGUAGUAAUUUCGUUAUAAUAUUUUGUAAUCGUCCUUUGAUGACUUGAUAAUUGCUGUUUGCUUUUUGCAGGUUAACAAUGUCGAGACUUGAGAGAGUAAGAACUAUGAGAGUAGAGACUGCAUAGUGGAGAAGGUGUGUAAAUAUAUAUGAACGAUUAUCAAGAUUCAAAAUCUCUAUCGAAAUCAAACAUUCCUAUGACAACAAAAAAAUUUCUUAGAGCCUUUUAAUCUAUAACAACAAAUCACUGUUUGCUGCAUAUUUUGGUUAACAUGAGUAAAACAUAGAUAGCUCAAAUCGUGUCAGUUUGAAUACGCUGAGGGCAAACAUGUUACAUAACCUAUGAAGUUAUAUCAUGUAAUCAAUCUUAUUAGGCAGUACAGAGGAGUCCCAAAGCCAUCACUGCCAGCAAGGAAAUGCUGAGAUUGGUAGCAGUGGCAACGGUGCCUGAAGGAGGAGGAGUAUGUGGCGGACCUUCUCCAGUUCCAUUGGAGGAGGCCAUGUUUGCAACCGGAGGCAGAGGCGGAUCAAUCACAUCUUUGGCAUCAAGAGGCGGGUUUGGGGCACUUGCUGGUGGUUGUGCUUCCUUGUCUGCUACAGCCAGUAGAGCGCCGGCUUCUGCAGGUAAGAUAGCAUAGGGCUGGUCUUUGUUUAAAUCUGAACAUGGACUCCCUGCAUUUGUAUCAAAUAUAAUUGAUCAGCCUUAUCUUGGUAAUAUGUAUAUUGUUCUUGUAGAAGUUUAAACUUACUUAAGUAUCUGGUUGCAGUGGCAGGGAACUCUGUGAUUACUCCAUCAACGCCACUCCCAGCAAUGAAUGUUGCAAGCUCUACCGUAGGAUCAGAGAAGUAGUCGAAUGCUAUGGAGAUGUACUCGUUUCUUAGCACCGAAACGUAAACAGAGAUAUUUGAUUUGUGCAUUUCCUCUACAACGUUAGUUUUUCCUGUGGCAAAACUUUGGGAGACGGUGACCAGAGAAGUUCUCUUGAGAUUGACAGCAUCUGCAUGCUUCUUUAUUUCUUCAAGGGAUGGCUUGGGGGCAUCUCCAAUCUCCUUGUCGAUACUCAAGACUCUAGUGUAAGGAGGGACAGCCUCGAAACUAGAUAAAACUGAACUGUCAUCUGACUGAAUCAAAACCUUCUGGGUUGAUUGCUUGUCGAGUGUGGAAUUGGUCAGAGCUGACUUGACUGCGUCUACGACUCCUAGGCCUUUCUUUGAGGCUAAAUAAGCAGCAUUCUGUAAACGAAAAAAAGUAUUAGUAAAGCUUCCUUGUGUUAGUUACAGAGCACUUGAAAGUUAAAUAGGCUUGCCUCAAUGUUUAUUAAAACUCCGGUGACUGCCUUUGCUUUGCUGAAUUCAAGAAAGUCAGCGAGAGUCGUGAACUUCCCGCCGUUCUUGUUUGCUGGGUUUCUCAGGAAUCCUGUGGCAGUGAAGGGGUUCUCGAUUUGUGCUGAAGGAAAAGAACCCCAACGUCAGUGAUUUAGUUGAGACUUGACAAUGAGAUUGCUUCAGAUAUCUAUAAAUCAGUUUCUUACGCUUCACGGACUGAAUCUCAGCCCAGGUGAGAUCAAAAGAGAAGAUGCCGUUGGUAGGCUGGAUCUCAGGAACGCUGGUGGCUCGGGACAUGAAAGUAGUCAUGGCGGUGGUACUUGCAGUGAGGUCUGCAGAAUCAUGGCAGAAAGCGAUUCCGUCUUUAGACAUCUGGACAGAGCAGUCGAUCACGUCUGCUCCAUCAUUGACUGCUUUCUCGUAAGCCAUAUCAGUGCAGCCUGGAUAGUCCCCACUUGCCCCGUUGUGAGUUAUAACCAACGCAUGCCCUGCUUUCGGGAGAUUGUCCUUUUGGUGAGAUAAGCAAGCUGCAAGAACAUAGACACAUGCGGUGUUAGCUUUUUCUAAUAAUCAAAUAUGUGUGGAUACAUCUACAUAUGAUGAUGGUAUAUUUUAAGUCAUCUCACUGAUGGCUUGUGAUGCUGUUGGCGGGAAAUCGGUGAUGAUGCCAUCAACAGAGAACUGGCCAUUGUCCACAAACUGUAGAUACUCAGCGGAGGGAUCAAAGCUGUAGUUGAAGCUGGUGCGCAUGUCAUUGGCAAAUCCAGAAGCAUAGACCUCUAGACCGGCUUUGUGGGCAUCAGCCACAAAGGUGGUGGCGGGCUUAAGGUACUUAGCCGUGUCAAGGGGCCAAAUGUAGUCUUUGGGGACAAGAACGCCUGAAGCAAAGGCCUUGAUUGCUGCGAGGUUCUGUUGAAGCUCGCUGUACUUCUUGUUGGUGGUGGGCUCAAUUGCCUCGGGGUCUUUGAACUCGAAUAUGAGCUUUGUCUUGGCCCUGCCUGCGUCCAUCCCUAUGCUCUUUAAGAAACCGAUCUCCGGAGAUGAGAUAACAUUAAUGCCGCGGAAUCGCAAGCUUCUCAGGUAAUCAGCUGCGCUCAACUUGUGUUCCAUGUAGAAGGCAUCGUACUGCACAUUUUUAUUGUUUUUUUUUUUUUUUUUUAUGAGUCAACAAGAACCUUCCCUAGCUAUGUGCUUAAUCAAUGCUCACAGAGAAGAAGAAGUACCUGAACGCUCAACCAGAACUUGGGAGGCUUGGUUCCGAGGACGUCCUCCACUGCGGAAACCGGCAUUUGGCCGUCAAAGAUGCUGGGACGAGAGAAGAUGUUCUGGACGACUGCACAAGAAUACAAAACAUGAGAAAGUGUGGUGGUGGUGAGCAUUGAAGGAAAGAAAAGAGGAGAUGACAUACGGGAGACAUUGGAGAAGAUGGUGUCGGCAUCGUAAUCAAGGACAAACCAUCCCUUGAGGUCCUGACCGUUGACCUUGUAAGUCUUCUGGGCUUUGGGGAAUAGCGUGGAGAUGGUGGUUGCAUUGUCAAGUCUAAUAUCUGACAAGCAAAGGCCGACGCCAUCCUUAGUCAUCUGAAGGUUGCACAACAUUGUGAGGCCAGGCGAGCUGGUGCUAAUAGCCAUGUCGUUUGCAGGGGCACUAGACUCCGGGAAAAGACCUGAGAAGCCGCCUCUUGCAACAACCGCAGGCUCUUUCCCUGAAGACAAAAGACAGGCAUGGGUUCUUAGAAACACAUGUUGUGUAACAUGGGCAUGUUCAUAUAUCAUAAUUAUACCACUUCAGAAAAAAAGAAAAAAAAGAAAAACAUGUAAUGUAAAAUGAGACUUACCGUUAAGGGUGAGCCAUUUCUUGGGAGGAACAGCCUUAGGGGUAACCUUGGUUGCGGCAACAGAGGAGGGUAUGAAAAGGGAUAAAAGAAGGAAGAACCUCAGCAUUUUUGUUGUUGAGUGAUCCUGCAAUUGUGUGUAACGUACGUAAAAAUCAGAUUAUAGAGACAAUGACAGUAUUAUACAUUUUUUUUUUGAGAAAAAGUGAAAGAGAGAAAGAAAGAUCUCACAACGAGACAAGAACAUGAAUCCUCUCUUCUGCUUGUUUUCCUCGUUUGGAAAAAGAAGAGAAGGAGGAGGAGGAAGGAGAUGGUCAAAACGAAAAGGUUAAUUAAUGGUAAACAAAAAAAAAAGAAAAAAGAAAAAAGUAACAUGCUCGUAAUAAUCAUAUCCCCGCCAUUUAUUGGCUAUUUACGAGUCUCUAUUUUUAUCUCCUUUUUUGGCCCUCCAUUCCCUUCUUAACCGCUUUUUCCUUUUUUAUGAUUUACAAUUUUACAUCGCAUAACCCCCUCAGUUUUGUAAAAAUUCGUAUGUUCGGGACUUUAGACUAUGUUCAUUUGUCUCAUAUGGCUUAUUUAUACUGUAUGUUCAAAAUGUACAGAGUCAAACAUUCGGACCAAACCAAAUUGACCAACUAAACUGAACCGACGAUAAUAAAACCGAUCGGUGGAAAAUAAAAAUGGUUUUUAUUUUUGGGUUACACCGAUCAGUUUUUGCCUAAUCUUAGAUAAAUCUUUAAUUUAUCAUUUUAUGUAACCUUUUUUCCUUGAGCAACUAAAAUUUUCGAAUAUGUACCUUAAAAUUCUUAAAAAUUGAAUUAUACAGUACUAGUCACCAAAAUCGUUAAUCUCGGUACAAUUGAGUACCCUUUUGAUAUUUACCGUGAUCGAACCAUAUUUAUCACAUAUAUUUUUUGUUUUUUUGUUUUGUUUCAGCACAUAAUAUAUUGACCGUAUCGAAGCAUUAUGAUGGUUGUUGUUUAUUGUAUAUCAAGGUAAGUAAAAUUAGAUAGCGAAUCUUAUUAGAAAGGAAAAGGGUAUAUAAUCUAUAUUAUUAUUUUUGCAGCCACUUUUUUGACCACCUAUUGUUUUAAUUUUUUUUCCAUCAAAUACCCUUAUUAUUCUUCUAAUAAUCAAAAAUCAUUAAGGUUAAUCAUGUUAGUUAACGAAACGGGUCGGUUUAAAACUUCAAUUUAAAAUCCGAUUUCAUCUAAUGGAUAUUUACUAUCUUAUAAUCGAAUAAAUUGGUAAAUAUUAAAUGCUAAAAUGGUGAAUGUUAAAUGUACGUAAUAAUAAAUAUGAUUCUCUAAUAUUCGAUUGUUCCUAUAAAUGAGCAUAGGAAUAAAGUAACAAACUUCCUAACUAUGAUUUGAUUGUGAUAUUAUGUUUAAACAAUAAUUACAAUAACUACUAACCAAAUAUAAGAAUAUCCGUGCUAUAUUUUUAGAUUAAAGAUCUUUUAAUAUCUUCUAAACUUGCUCAUCAAGCGUUUAUCCUUUAACAAUGAAAAAACCCACAACACUAUAAUUUUGAUAACAUUAUAAAUACAUGCUCUUCCCACAACCUAUAAGCACCACAACAGACCGUAUUAAUCGUUAUUAUUAGGGUUUAUAUGUUAAGUUUCUAAAAGUAUAUUUUCGUAAUAUACUAAUUAAUAUUGCUAAUGGGUUGAAAUUGUAGGUGGAUUUGGUGGGAGGAUACUACGAUGCAUAAGACAAUAUGAAUUUUUGAUUCUGAAUGGCAUUCACAACCACAAUGCUCAAGAAAUCUUGGCCUACCAAUCGCCCAAGUUCACUAGGCUACCAACUUUCUCCUCAAAGCCAUUUCACAUCUUGAUACCAUUUAUGUUCAGGUUUCGUUAUUUACUCAACAUUCUCUUCUUAAAAGUUCCAGAACUUUCGAAACAUAGUGGUUUUAACGUUAGCGUUUCUAUAGGUUGGUGAUCCUAACAUGAACCAUGCCUCUUGGGGGAGAUCAGAAGAUAUGGAUACUAAGAAGUGUGUUUAAAGUCGAGAGGAACGAUCAUGGUCCUGCUACCGCUCUUGCCGCCGCUUCCAUUGUUUUCAAAAAACUUGCGGAAUGUUCUUCUCCAACGAGCCAUUACGACAUUUUAUCAUUUAAGUAAUUAAUCAGUUUUGUAUACAUAAACUCAUUUAUGUAAUCCUUGAUUGUCAUUCCUCAAAUCUCUUUUGUAUACUAGGUGAAAUAUUGUUCUUCAUUUAAUUAAUAAAUGUUACACAAAGCAAAAAAAUAUAAACCAACAUAUCUCAAUUAUAUUACAUCAAAGUAAUGGACAAAUCCUUGGAGACGAUGAGUUUGACAACAUGUUUAGCUUGGAUUAUAAUUUAUAAGCACGUUGGUGCUAGAUUUUUUCUCUCCAAAGUUCGAAAUUUUAGUCUAUUUGGUUUUUUUUAUUUAUUCGUUAAAAGGCUGGAAUUUUAUGAAACUUCCUUUCUCAUUUGUUCAGUACCUGGAGCCUUUUUAUUCCCAUUAAUUAUUUUUUUUGCUAUAUUUGUUAUAGUAAUUAAAGUCAAAUCCCCAAAACAAUAGCACAUUAACUCUAGGGAUCAACUAAAUUUUUAUUUUCUAAACUCUUUUAAAUGCAUAACAUUAAUAUUGAGAAAGAAAAAUGUGUAACAAUAAUUAAAAUAGCAAGUAUUUUCGAUAAAAAUCUCGGAAUGUUAUUACAUUAACUACACAAUCUUACCUUACAUUGUUCGUAUUUAUUAUCUUUUGCUAAAUUUUUGAUAGUAAUAUAAGUCAAAUCCCAGAAAAAUCGCCAAUUAAGCUAGGUUUUACUUUGCUAAAUUUAUUUAUAUUUAGUACUUUAAUAUUGUUGUUUUAUUUUAAAAAAAAUAUUAUCUUUUACAAGGUCGAUGGAAUAUUGAUGAUUUUAUUAAGAUUUGUUUUUGUUUAAAACUUAAAUUGUUGGACACACUUCCUCUCCUUAUAAAUUAGAGAGGUAAGUAUCAAAUACUUUCACGGAUGUAUGUUCUCUCUUCCUCUCCUCUUUUCUUUUCUUUUUUAAUUGUUUGAUUAUUGUGAUUUUGCUACUAAUUUUUACGAAUUAAUGCUUAUAUUAGUUUCAAAGGGAAGAUGAUGAUGAUUAUUCCACAAAGGUAAUUUAUUUCAAAAACUUAAAUUAGAUAUCUCUUUGCUUGAAAAAUAAUUUCAUCGACUUUGUAAAUUAAUAAUAACAGUUGUUAUUUAAUUCACCAAAUUAAAUAUUUAAUUUUUUCGUGUAUGAUGUAAAUUGUUGAAUAUAAUCAAGUGUAAUGUUGUUAAUCUAUUUUCAAAUUUCCGUAUUUCAUGCAGUUUUUUAGAAACUUGAAAUUAGUUUUAAAUUUUAUGAAUAUUAUUAAGAAACAAAAUGGUAACAUAAAUAAUGUAAACUAAUAUUGCAAAAUUAAUUAAUAAUCCAAAUUAAUGUUGUAAAAUAACAUUUGUAUUUCCUUUCAUAUUAACAAUAUGAUAUUCUAAUUUGAUCUCCAAGAUGUUCUGAAACCACUCAACCAAAACAGUAUACAAUACCUCUUCUAUAAAUAACAAUCUAUAUAAUUGAUUGUAUAACUCAUCAGAAAAUAAUCCAUUUUAUUUAAUUCAUCUUCAGCCUUGCUAAAGCAAAAUAAAAACACUACGAAAAUUCUCCUUUUAAAAAAUGCAGAUUGGAGAAGAAACAUAAGAAUUAUAAAGACAAAGCUUUCAAUAAUUUUGUUUGCAAUAAAUAGAUUAGUGUGAAAAACAACAUUUUCAAUUGCUUAAUGAAAAGGUGGAAACAUAUUUAAGUUCUUAAAGGGAUCGGACAAGAGUCACAGAUAUAUAUGUCUUACGACAUAUUACAUUGGUGAUCCUUAAGCUUGGGUUUCAUGGAGUCACAUUCUUGGAUCCUUAAUUAAGCUUCUCUAAUUUCCCUUCUCCACUUUGUGUAAUAUCGGAGAUAACAAAAGAUAAACUCAUCGAAGGGUCAGGCCUCUUCUAGCCAAGUGUGGUAUAAACAGUCCUCCCUCCUGUUUCUAAGGUAAUAAAUCAAAGUAACCGUACGUACAUAUGAUUUUGCUCUUCUUUCGUUAAAGAGAGAAAAUCUUAUGUUUGUUUUGUUGUUCCUUUUGUAACAUGCAGCUUGAAGAACAGAGCAGAAGACAGGCCGGUCUACCUCCGACAAAAUUCGAUGAGUUUAUCUUUUGUUAUCUCAAACAUUAUAACUUUUGUUAAAAAAAAAUUAUCUUUCUUAUAUCCGAUGGAAUGAAAGCCACGUAAGAUCCACUCUCUUUGAAUUUCAAUGAGUUAGUGAAUGGACGUUGCAAUUUAUUUCAUAUUAGAUAAAAAAAAAAUCAUUGAGUUUAAUGGGAGAUGCGGUUUAACAAAAUGUCUUUCUUAUAUAAUAAUAAUUUGGAAUAAGAAAAACAUGUAACGUCAAUUAUGCGCAUCUAUUGUUUUAAACAAUAGUUUAAUUUAGGAAUAUGCAUGGCUUAACAAAUAGUUGACAAUGUGUAUUAGUUACAGCAACUAAUUCAUAAUAAUCAAAUUUCAGAAAAUAUAAAUUCAUUUGGAAAAAGAACAAACAACAACUAUAUAUAUAUAUAUAUAUAGAUUUAUGUAACCUUUACUUUAUUCUAAUAAAUACUACGUACUUAGCAUUUUAAUAAUAAAUUUAUAACUUCUACAUAUAUAUAUAUACACGUAUAUAACAUCUAUACUAAAAUAAGAAAAUUAUUAUACUAAAAUAAGAAAAUUACUACGGGGUAAAUUUGUUAAAUACAACAUAGUAAAUACAACAUCGAAACAUUUACGAACCACAAAAAUUCAAUCACAAAUUUAUUAAAAAAAGAUUAAAUCCGUGGUGUACUACGGGUAAAUCCGUAUCAUAUUAUGUGAUAUAUAUAUUAUAUCUAUAAAUACCAGAGAUGUUAUAUCUUUUUGUUGGACCUACAAGAAUAAUCUAAACAAACUUUGUAUAUAACCGUACAUAUAUAUAAACUAUAACAGUUAAAGUGAUAUAUAACAGAUAAACAUAAAAAAAAUUUGGUUCAUUUAUUUUAGGUGUUACGGUUGGAGCUGGGUGGCAAGCCGUGGUUGCGUACGUGAACAUUGCGUAUUAUUACAUUAUCGGAUUUCCUGCUGAUCUUAAACUAUAACGGUUAAAUUUAUAUAUAACAUAUAAGCAUAAAAUACUAGUCCCGUGGUGUACCACGGGGUAAAAUCUAGUUGAAUAUUAUAGAGAAUUAACAGGACGGACUAUAAUUUGUUUUUUAAAAUUAUUUUCAUACAAUUAAAUUGAAUAAAGAAAACAUAGAAAGGUGCUGACAAAAAAAAAAAAAAA